UUUUUUUUUUUUUUUUUUUGUACAAGUGGUGCGUUCUAUAAAUGAAGUAAAACUUGAAAUUUUUUUUUUUUUUUUCAAAACGUUCUGAUUUAUCAAAUAUGUUCUUCAUCACUUAAUUGCAAUUAUUGACAAUAGUACACUAUAUGAGUACGUUUUAUGCAAUAAGUUGUACAUUUCAUAUAAGUACUUUUUAUACAAGCCAUACGUACAUUAGAUGAAACAAGUUCGACAUUGUUGUCCAAAACGUACCAACUUAUUGUACAUGUAAGUUCUUCAUCAAUUAAUUAUAAGUAAUCAUAAUUGUACAUAAAUUAAAUACAUUAUAUUUUACAAACAAUGAUAUAUUUCAGAAACCAUGUAAGUACCUUUUGUAUAAUAAGUGGUAAAUUUCAUAAGUCAUGUAAGUACUUUUUUUACAAGUAGUAUGUACAUUCCAUUAAUGAAUCAAAUUUGAUGUUGUUGUCGAAAGCAUACUAACCUAUAAUACGAACAUAUUCUUAACCAUUUUAGGGCAAUUGAUGACAAUAGAAUAAUAUACAAGUACUUUUUAUGGAUCAAGUAGCAUAUUUUAUACACUACGUAAGUACAUUUUAUACAAGAAUGUGUAUAUUUCAUAGACAAAACAAAAUUGAUAUUGUUAUCCAAAAUGUACUAAGCUAUAGUACGUGUAAGUUCUUCACCACUUAAUUACAACUAUGACAAUGGUACACUUUUUUUUAUAGCAAGUGGUAUAUUUCAUACACCAUGCAAAUAUAUUUUGCAUAAUAAAUGAUACAUUUCAUACAUCAUGUGAAUACUUUUUGUAUAUGUCAAUUUUAUUAAUGAAUCAAAUUUUAUCUUGUUAUCCAAAACUUACUAACCUAUAAUACGAAUAUGUUCAUCAUUUUAAUCGCAAUUGAUGACAAUGGAACACCACAUAAGUACUUUUUCUAUAACAAGUGAUAUAUUUUAUACAUUACAUGAGUACUUUUAUACAAGCAAUACAUACAUUCCAUAGAUGAACCAAAUUUGAUUUUGUUGUCUAAAACAAACUAACCUAUAAUACAAGUAUGUUAUUCAUAACUUAAUUACAUUUGAUUUAUACAACGACUCUUAUAUAUAUGGUACUUACGUAGUAAUCAAAAAAAUCUAAUACAUGUACCAAAUGAUAAUCUAUUGUACUAAAUACUAAUCCUUUUCGAUAUGUCUGACAUUGCUUCAUUCUACACGAUUGACCAAUCAAAGUUUUGAACAUAUCAUUUCUUUUCACAUUAUGUAAAAUUAAAUGCAAUUAAUAUAUUAUAUCAACAUCAUUUUCAUCCUUUUUUUUUGUAAAUAUUAUUAGUAAGAUAGCUAAGUUUAUAUGUUGUGUGUGCUAGAAAUACACUUUAUUUCAUAUGUUGGAAAAAUCUAUGUGUAACAAAAACAAAAUAGUUGUGUACAUGCCUAUUUUGUUUGUGUCCUUUAUUAUAUUAUGAAGUAAAAUAAGGGUGUGCCGACAUGUCCUUGCAUAGCUUUAAUUUUAUCAUCAUUAGAUUAGAAAAUUACAACUUAAAACAAAUUUUGAAAAAAGUAGAUAAAAAUUUACAUAUGAAAUGCCUUUUUUAAGGCUGAUUUUGUUCUCUAAUAUGCUAUACAUAUAUUUAAUUUUGUACCAAAAUGCACAAUUAUAAUGUGUUUAAUAUACUAAAUGUGUGCAUGCAAUGUAUUCGAACUCUGUAUAUAAUAUAAAUACCCUAGUGUUUUCUUAUUUUGCAAAAAAAACAAUGCUAAAAUGUAAUAUAGAAGUCAACUUAUAUAAUAUUUGAAAAAUAGGAACUCAAAGAUCCAAAAUUCAUCAAAACGGUUUAAGUUUUGAAAAUUUUUUGAAUGAAUUAUUUUUCAACAUUUAUGAUGGUUAAUGAAUAUAUCUUUAGAUGACUAAAUCAUCCUAUUUGCCAUAUGCAUUUUAUUGAAUAGUAAUGUGCACCUUAAUGAAUAAAGUUGUGCAUUUCGAAGAAUACAAGUAUAUAUUAAAAUUUGUAUCAACUUAAUUAAUAUGUAUACAUAUGUAAAUGCAUACAUACGAGUAACUAAAUAUAAUUGCACUUUGAUAAAUAUAUGUGUAUAUCUGAAUGUGCACAGAUAUCUGUUAGAAUGUGCACAUACAACUAUUUGGAAAAACAUUCAAUGGUGUAUUAAAAAAAGUAUAAGUAUAAUAUCUUUUUAUAUAUAAAGUUUGAGCAGGGUUUGGUGUAAAAAGAAAAGUGUCUUUAUUGGUUUUGCCAAAUAUAUCUUUCUAAUAUUCACUAUUAUCUAUUAAUAUUUUAUCUAUUAAACUUACCACCCCUACAUGACUACCAGCACAAUAAACACACAAAUACAUAUACAUACCCCCUUUUUUAGCCUAAAAAACUUCCAAUAAGCCAAUAACUGUCUACAACUUCCUAUCCAAAAAAAUGAAAAAAUGAAAACACAAUUCUCUCAUCCAUAGUUCUAAAACAAAACUCCAACUGCUACUAAAAAAUUUAACAUAUUUUUUGAAUAUUUUCCUUUUAGAUUUGCUCACACAUUGCAUGUGCCAUUGCCACUAAUAGUUUAUAGAAUGUCACAAGAAAUUACGAUGGUUUGAUGGUAAACAUGUCAAUUGCACUAACAUGACAAAUGAUAUCGACUCGAACUCGAUUAACCCGAGUAGAGCUCGAUAGACCCUAACGAAUCAAGUUCGAGUAUUAAGUAGCAAGACUCGAAGACUCGUCGAAUUUUAUCGAGUUUUUUAAUUUUAAUUUUUAAUAUAUUAUUAUUAUGAAAUUACUCUUCUGCCCACAAGAGUGGUUGAAUUUACGAAAUGUUUUAGGUUGUAUGAAUUUUUUUGAAGGGCGAUAAUGUUUUUUUGGUAAAAAUUUGUCAAAAAAAUGAAAUUUCGAAAUCAUCUAGACUCGAACGCUAUAAGACUCGCUUUGACUCGAGCCCAUGCAAGUCGAACUCAAGUUCUAUGAGCAAUAUAUCAUGCUCGAGCUCGAGCUCCAGCAAUGUUACUCAUUCGAGCUCGAACUCAAGUAUCUUUCCUACAAGUUGAGUUGAGCUCGAGUCGUCAUACUCAAGUUUGAUUCAACUUAAUUACAUCCCUAAAUAGGGUCUUCCAACUAUGUACCAUGUUAAUUACAAUAACAUGGAAAAUGACAUCGUGGACACAUCAGUCAGGGCCUACCAACCAUGGAUGUAAGUGACACUUGUCAGUGGGUCCAACCUUAUUAUGCAGCAACCACGUCAUAUGUAGAUCUCAUCUUUAUUGCAAGUGCCAAAUAGGCAAAUUAGUCAUAUUACCUAAUAUUCAAUAUUUUAAAUCAGUAUGAAUAGUAAGCAAUCACCCAAAUACAAAUUACCUAGAAGUGGUACCCUUGUUUUGAAUUGUAAAACUUCCCAUUUUCAUCUUCUAAAUUUUUCCUAUAUGUAAGCCUCAAGAUAGUGUUGGUUGUAAGUAAAGUGGAGGAAAAGUGAGGGAAAAUAGGAUUCUUACAAUUUUUUUGUCAUUUGUUUGAUAAGAAAGUCGUGGGAUCUACAAGAAAAAAAUUUCCUAAAACUGUCAAAUUUUCAACAAAACUUAUCUUGCAAAAUUCACAGGAAAAUAAGUCAUGGGAACAUCUUCACGAAUAAAUUUUUUGAAUCAAAAUAUCUUUUUAAAUCAAGAUAAUACUGUUGAAGAUUAUACCAUAUUAUGUCUCACUUUUUUGUUCAUUAGUUCGUUCAGGUAGAACUACUAAUACUAAAAUCGUAUCUUAUCUCGUUUCUUGUUUUUCAAAUGGUUCGCGCAGAAAUAUUAAUGCUAAAAUCUGUCCUCAAAUGGUUUAGGUAGAACUAUUAAUUCUAAAAUCUCUACUCAAAUCUUUUUAUCUAUUUCAAUCAUCUAUACGUACCACUAUUAUAACGUAUCGAAACACCAACAAUUAAAAUUUUUCUUUUUUUCUCCUUUUAAAAAAAUCAUUCUUUUUCUUCUCUUCAUCUUCAUAUCUUCAUAUCUUCAUAUCUUCAUAUUCAUAUCUUGGAUAAAAAUUUCUAGUAAGUUAUAGUACAAUAAGUUUGAUUUUUUUUUUGUUAAAAUGAUUUUAUAAACAGCUAUAAAAAUAAGCCUAUGGCAAUCAUGCAGAGAAAGACAACAAUUUGAGUAAGGAAGGGAUCAGUGCAAAUUCAGGUAUGUGUAGAAUCGUUCUUCAUUUGUUGUUAUAUCUUAUAUCUCGUAACACAUUUUUUUGGCAUAAUAAAAUACAUGAUUUGUAUGAGAAUCAGUUCAUAGUUAGUUAAUGUAUGGGAUUGCAAAUUCUUUCAACUACUUAAUCUAUUUUUGUCAAUUGUAAAAACUUAUUCACUAAGAAAUUUGUCCACUUCUUAUUUAUCAGAUCUCCAUCUCCAUGAAAUGAAGAAUGUGAGAAAUUCUGUGAUGCCAAAAAAAUGACCAGUUUAGAAUAUUUGAUGUCUUUGUUCAUUUUGUGCUUUCAAUAUCUCUUUAAAUUUAAGUUGUUAGAAGAAUUUAAAGAAAGUGACAGGUGCCGAACCUGUGCAAUAAUAAUAAUAAAACCUAACUACCACCAAAAGCAGUCAAUAAUCAAUUCUAGGUACUGGAGUAGGGACUCUAGGUGUGCAAUGGGUUACUUGAUUCACCCUGUUCCCGAAGAGUUUAUUUAAUCCGAUAUACCAGAAUGAAUUAGCUGACAAAUUUUACUAACAAAUAGACAGUGGCAAGCCGGAUCGUCUCCUCAAGGACUAGGGAUAUUUGUCUCUUUGAAAUUCCAAUUGGCAAUAGGGGUUUUCGUCGAAAUAAGAGUAAAAGUAAUUCAACAAUUCAACAAAAAAUAAAUAAUUAACUAAAACGACCGUAGACAGGAAUUAAAUCAAUAAAAGACAAACUCUAACCAAGAAUACAACAUCUCAGACAUAGUUCGCUCAUCCGAUCAUUGAUGCAAGGGAGGUACACCUAAUUUAUUAAUAGGUUAGUUAUAGUCACCAACGAGUUCUGACGAUCAAUUUUUCUUUAAUUUAUUGAUAACCAAGGUACGACCAUUGAUUACCCAUAACCAGAAAAUACUCCUAAGUAUGAUCAUAGGAAUUAAUUCCCCAAUUGCAUUAAGAAUUAGAAAAACCUAACCCCAAUCAAUAACACGCUACGAGGGUUAUUUAAAUCAGAUUGCACGUUCUCCUAAUGUGUAAAAACGCUAUUUGCCACUGAUAUUAAUCAAUUUAAACAAUUACAGAUUUAAUUGACUAAUUUGGCAGGAGAUUAAUAAGUUGCAUUGAAUAUCGGGCCCUUGACAUCCAAUUAACAAAAUAAUUCCAUGAAAAUUCAAGCAGAUAACGUGCAAAUAUUAACAAAUUAAGGAACGCAUGAAAAUUAAUUCGAUCUCACAAAUAUUCAGGAUUGUGUCGUCGCGUUGAUCCUUGACUAAAUGGAAAGUUUAGCCACAUCGCAUAAGUAAACUCCAUGUAAAUUAAUUGAUUCACAAGACAUCACGCUUUUCACUAGAUAAUCAAGAAGUAAAAGAUGUUUCUCCAGUUGGGAAUAUUGUCGAACACCAGGAAAUGCAUGACAAGAAAAGAGGCAACUAUCCUGUCUCUAAGCAAUGACUAAAUCUCCUAUCCCUAUGUGGUCCCUGCAAAAAAUCAGAAGAAAAGGCAAGGCCCUACUCAAUGUUUUCUUUUCCUGUUUCCUCUUGCUAAUAAAACUUCCUCGUACAAGUCAUCUCUUCAUCAGCAAAGGAAAAGGAAGUCCGUUGCUUCAUACCCUAUGGGCUAGGUUUGUGAAGCUUUUAGAAGUGUCCCACGUGUGGAGCAAUUUUUUCCAGAAGGUCCCCCUCUUUUUAGCACUUUUCAGUUCCACUUCCUGUAGAUAGGUCUAAAUAUCAAGUAUAAGUAUAUGUUAACAAUUAGGUAAUAUUUGGCAAGGACAAAGAGGAAAAUUAAUAAUAAAGUUACAAACAAUUAACACCCUAUCAAUUCCCUCUACACCUAAAUCAUGCUUGACCUCAAGCAUGAGAACAACUAAACUCAUCAAUGGCCAGCUCUCACGUUCUCUAUUGUCAAGUUAUGCUUACACUAAAAUCAAGGUUCAGUGGCUAAGUGUCAAGACAUAUUCCUUCCGAUUAGCUCCUGAAAUCAAAGACUUGUCCAAUUCAUAACUAACUCGUCUAGGAAAUCAGAAUAUUAAAUUAGCAAAAGUCAGCAAUUGGUUCAAUUGUCAACCAAAAUCUCAACAUUAAAGAACAAGGAUCGGCAGGCCAACAUGAUCAUAUGCUUACAUAUUUUUCACAUCUGUUCUUUUUCUUUUCUCCUUUUUUUUUGUUGUUCUCUUUUUUUAUUAUUUUAUUAUUUUAUUAUUUUAUUUUUUAUUUUUUUAUUUUUUUAUUUUUUUAUUUUUUUGAGAACGAAUAAAUGUUUAGUUCCAAGCCAUUCAAGUCUUUUGACGUGAACUCUAACAUUUUUAGAUGAAAGAGCCCAGUUACUCAACUUUUCACAGCUUCAGUACUACCUACUCAUAAAUAUCGCCAUUUUUUUUACGCGAGAGUCGACACUUGUGGUGAAAACUCCCGAUUACUGGGUGACAACACUAGCGGAGUAUAGCCAUUUGUUAUUCAUGAUCAAAACACCAACAUGCUAGACAAUUAAAGACCACAGCCUACGUCAUAUCCUAAACAUGGAGAGCUAAGGUCGACAGGGGACCAAUCCACACAACAGUUGCCAGCAAAAUAUUUAUACCGCCUAAAUAAGUUAACCACAAUUCACACAAAGUCAUUAAACUCAUGAUAUUCAUCAAGACAAUAUGCUCUUACUUGCCACUGAAACUAAAUUUAUAGAAUAAAACAUAUCUAGCAAUAGAAGAGUGAGUUGUAGGCAAUUGUUGAUCACCAAGACAAUAAUAAGACAAGCAGAAAAUUAAAGAAACACUGGUCGAAUCCAAAUCCCCCCACACCUAAGGCACACAUUGCCCUCAAUGUGACAAAUAAACAGUAAAAGCAAAUAGAAAGGCAAUGGAACCUCCCUUAAAUCGUCAAAACAAUGGCGGGUUAGGCCCAAAGGGAGGCGAAAAUCCCGCGUGCUGUAUAAAUGCUGCUAGAUUUUGGGCAAUGUUGGUCGCAUUGAUGUCAAUAUUUUUCACUCUAGCAUCCAAAAUGUCAACCUGUGCUCGUAACACGUCCCAAUCAUCAGCCCCUGGGGAUGAGCGGAGAUAGAUCUGGCCAGGGUUAUCGCCAGCAGUGAAAAAACGAACAAAGAGGAACGAGGGGGGACACGAGUCGGUCUCGGGAGAACAACUUCCCACCCGUUGUCACCUUCCCAUACCAAGCCCAUUUUCUCUAGACAAGGAAUGUCUAAGGGAUCCAUUUGACAGGCUACAUAUAAAUCAUGAUUAGAGAGAUCAAGCACAUGCAAAUUAACAGUCAAAUGAGGAAUAUAGGAUCCAAAAAUCAGGGGACGCUUCUUUUUAGGUAAAACAGAUUUGAAUUAAGAAGUGAGCCAGCACCCCAGAUUAGCCUUAAUGUUGUUAUGCAUGCGCCAAAUAAAAAAAAAUUUGGCUUAGACAAAAUAUCCUAACUAUUUCGCCUACCCGAGAAACUAUAGGUCAAGAAAUGCUGGAUAUAGCGAGAUGCUGGGUCCUUCAGAUAACAACUCUUAGACUGACGGGAGUCAUAAUCAGCACGGUCUAUAGAUAUAUCCUCCCAAAUAUAUCGAUAGCUGGAGAAAAAAGGAUCUACGUAAUCACACGCACUCUCAGCAUACUCCCGAGACUCGGCAUAGGUUGGAUCAGUAAAACCAAGGGUUAGAUUGAAAUCAGUAAUGGAGUGAUGGAACUCUUGACCUAUUAAUCAAAAACGGAUGACAUUGGGGGUAGAGACUGUGUAACCAGUGGGGAGAUCGAACUCGAAUGUGGUAUAGAACUCCCUAACCAACUUGACAAAAGCUGGACGGUCAACAAUAUAAGUGUAGAGACGCCAUCCAAUUACCCGGAUCAAGCAGUCAAAGUAGGCCCUAAUAUUCAAAAGGCCUAAGGUGGCGGCAUCUCGAUAUCGGUAGGGAAUAAUCCGUUGUUCACAACAAUCAGCAUUGGAUUCGACUAGUGUUUCUUUAAUUUUUUGCUUGUCUUACUGUUGUCUUGGUGAUCAACAAUUGCCUGCAACUCACUCUUCUAUUAUAAGAUGUGUUUUAUUUUAUAAAUUUAGUUUCGGUGGCAAGUAAGAGCAUAUUGUCUUGGUGAAUAUCAUGAGUUUAAUGACUUUGUGCGAAUUGUGGUUAACUUAUUUAUGCAGUAUAAAUAUUUUGCUGGCAACUGUUGUGUGGAUUGGUCCCUGUUGACCUUAGUUCUCCAUGUUUAGGAGAUGACGUAGGCUGUGGUCUUUAAUUGUCUGGCAUUUUGGUGUUUUGAUCAUGAAUAACAAAUAGCUAUACUCCGCUAGUGUCGUCACCCAGUAACCGGGAGUUUUCACCACAAGUGUCAACUCUCGCGUCAAAAAAAUAGCGAUAUCUAUGAGUAGGUAGUACUGAAGCUGUGAAAAGUUGAGUAACUAGGUUCUUUCAUCUAAAAAUAUUAGAGUUCACGUCAAAAGACUUGAAUGACUUGGAACUAAACAUUUAUUUGUUCUCAAAAAAAUAAAAAAAUAAAAAAAAAGAGAACAACAAAAAAAAUGGAACAAAGAAAAAGAACAGAUGUGAAAAAUAUGUAAGCUUAUGAUCAUGUUAGCCUGCCGAUCCUUAUUCUUUAAUGUUGAGGUUUUGGUUGAUAAUUGAACCAAUUGCUGACUUUUGCUAGUUUAAUAUUCCGAUUUCCUAGACGAGUUAGCCAUGAAUUGGACAAGUCUCUGAUUUCAGGAGCUAAUCGGGAGGAAUAUGUCUUGACACUUAGCCACUGAAUCUUGAUUUUGGUGUAAGCACAGCUUGACAAUAGAUGACGUGAGAGCUGGCUAUUGAUGAGUUUAGUUGUUCUCAUGCUUGAGAACAAGCAUGAUUUAGGUGUAGGGGGAAUUGAUAAGGUGUUAAUUGUUAUUAACUUUAUUGUUAAUUUUUCUCUUUGUCCUUGCCAAAUAUUGUCUAAUUGUUAACAUAUACUUAUAUUUGGUAUUUGAACUUAUCUACAGGAAGUAGAACUGAAAAGUGCUAAAAAGGGGGGAACUUCUGGAAAAAAUUGCUCCACACGUGGGAGACUUCUAAAAGCUUCACAAACCUGGCCCAUAGAGUACGAAGCAACGGACUUCCUUUUCCUUUGCUGAUGAAGAGAUGACUUGUACGAGGGAGUCUUAUUAGCAAGAGAAAACGGGAAAAAAAAUAUUAAGUAGGGCCUUGCCUUUUCUUCUGAUUUUCGGCAGGGACCACGUAGGGAUAGGAGAUUAGUCAUUGCUUUGAGAUAGGACAGUUGCCUCUUUUCUUUUCAUGCAUUCCUGGUGUUCGACAAUAUUCCCAACUGGAGAAAUAUCUUUUACUUCUUGAUUAUCUAGUGAAAAGCGUGAUGUCUUGUGAAUCAAUUAAUUAACGUGAAAAUUUACUUAUGCGGCGUGGCUAAACUUUCCAUCUAGUCAAGGAUCAACGCGAGGACGCAGUCCCGAAUAUCUGUGAGAUUGAAUUAAUUUUCGUGCAUUCUUUAAUUUGUUAAUAUUUGCACGUUAUCUGCUUGAAUUUCCAUGAAAUUACUUUGUUAAUUGGAUGUCAAGACCCCGAUGUUCAAUGCGAUUUAUUAAUCUCCUGCCAAAUUAGUCAAUUAAAUCUAUAAUUAUUUAAAUUGAUUAAUAUCAGUGGCAAAUAGCGUUUUUACAUACUAGGGGAACGUGCAAUCUGAUUUAAAUAACCCUCGUAGCAUGUUAUUGAUUAGGCUUAGGUUUUUCUAGUUCUUAAUGUAAUUGGAAAAUUAUUUCCUACGGUCGUACCUAGGAGUAUUUUCUGGUUAGGGGUAAUCAAUUGUCAUACAUUGAUUAUCAAUAAAUUAAGGAAAAAUUGAUCGUCAGAGCUCGUUGAUGACUAUAACUAACCUAUUAAUAAAUUAAGUGAACCUCCCUUGCAUCAAUGAUCGGAUAAGCGGACUGUGUUUGAGAUGUUGUAUUCUUGGCUAGAGUUUGUCUUUUAUUGAUUUAAUUCUUCUCUACGGUCGUUUUAGUUAAUUAUUUAUUUUUGGUUGAAUUGUUUAAUUGCUCUUUCUCUUAUUUCGACAAAAAUCCCCUAUUGCCAAUACGAAUUUCAAAGAGACAAAUAUCUCCAAUCCCUGAGGAGACGAUCCUGCUUGUCACUGUCUAUUUAUUGAUAGAAUUUGUUAGCUAAUUCAUUCUAGUAUAUCAAAUUAAGCAAACUUUUAGGGAACAAGGUGAAUCAAGUAACCCAUUGCACACCUAAAGUCCCUGCUCCAGUACCUAGAAUUGAUUAUUGAUUGCUUUUGGUGGUAGUUAGGUUUUAUUAUUAUUAUUACACAGGUUCGGCACCUGUCAGUUUUUUAUCCUGGUUGUACUAAAAAAAGGUUUACCUAACAGUAAGGGUAAUAAGUCAUGAGAGUGUUCAUCAUCCAUGUCAAAUACAUAGAAAUCCGUUGUGAAAACCAAUUCAUUAAUUUUUAUCAAAACAUCUUCAACGAACCCGUCGGGAUAUGUAUUGGUUCGAUCAGCUAAUUGGAUUAUUAUCCCAAUUUCUUUCAAAGAAGUAUAUAUGGAUUUUGGCAUGACAUUAAUUGAGGUUUCUAGGUUUAACAUGGUCUUUCCAAUUAAGGUAUUACCUAUCCUACAGGGAAUAGUGAACAUAUCCGAAUUCCCGUAUUUCGGUGAAAGUUUUCGUUGUAGAAUUGCCAACACAUUCUCCCCCACUACCACUCGCUCAUCUCCUUUCAACCGCCUUCGGUUGACAUACAAGUCCUUCAAAAACUUUGCAUAUUUGGGUACUUGUUUAAUUGUAUCUAGUAGGGGAAUGUUGAUCUCUAUCUUACGGAAGAUCUCCAGGACCUCUUUCUCUUUAUUCUACUUCUUUGGUUUCUCCAACCUGUUAGGAAAGGGAGGUGAAUUAGUUUUAACUGUAAUGAGUGGGUCCGAAAGUACCUUUGGAUUUUUGUUGCCUCUACUAUCCUCUUCCAACUCUUUCUCAAUUCGUUCCUCGUUCUUGUCCUUAAGAAUCACAGGUUCGGGUCCUUGGAUUUUCUUGUCACUCCUCAAAGUCAUUUUGCUUAUAUUUUUGGGAUUCAACUCAGGUUGAGAUAGCAACUUCCCUUGAACUUGGGAUUCCAAACGAUUGAUUGUUAUGGUCAUUUGAUUCAUUUGACUUUGCAUGAAUUGCAUCUGGCUUAUUUGAUUUCUUAUGUUUUGCAAUUCGGAGUCCGUCCUUCAUUGAUGUUGUGCGGUAGUAGCCAUCGGUUGUUUCAUCAUCUCCUCCAAAGAUGGACUAGAGCUCGGUGAAGGAGGCGGUGGUCGAGGUUAGUACUGCUGCUGGUACCCUUGUUAUCUACUUGGUACAAAGUUAGACUACCUAUUCCCUCCAUAACUAAGGUUGGGAUGAUCUCUCCAACCAAGAUUGUAUGUACUUGAAUAUGGGUCGUAUUGCUUUUUUGGUGCGGGCGCGUGGCCAGCCAUAUUUACGUGUUCUGCAUUUUCUUCUUGAACUAGCGGACACAUCUCCGUAGAAUGACUCAAAACAGUGCAUAUUCCACAUACUUUGGCUUGUAAGGCACUUCUCACAAUUAGUUGUAGCACGAAAGAUGUCAAUUCAGAGAGUUGUUAUUGGGUGGAGGAUAUUUCUACCUCAUUCACCCUACGUAUCGGGACAUCCUCUCUUGAACUGAACUACUGUAAAUUCUCAGCUAUCCCCUCAAUCAGCUCUCAAGCCUCUUGAGGAGUCUUGUUUACCAAUGUUCUCCCACUUGCAGCAUCGAUUAUGUUUCUAUCUCUGAAGAGUAAGCCCUCAUAAAAAUAUUGAAUAAGCAGUUACUCACUGAUCUGGUGUUGAGGGCAUUUGAUGCACAAUUUUUUGAACCUUUUCCAGUACUCAUAGGAAGACUCAUUUGGGUGUUGUUUGAUAUCGCAUAUUUCUUUCCUUAAACUGGCGGCCCGAGACGCAUGAAAAUAUUUUUUCAGAAAUUUUUCUUCAACUAGUCCCACGCAGUGAUGUUACCUGGUGGUAGGUAGUAUAGCAGUCUUUUGCGGAGUCCUUCAAAGAGAAGGGGAAUGCUCUCAUUUUUAUUUAUUCUUCUGUAAUUUUCGGGGGUUUCAUACUGUUGCAGAUAAUAUCGAACUCUUGUUUCAUGCAAGUGUUUGUCAGGCUCCUCACCUGAUAAGCAAUGAAAAAAUGGUAAAAAAUGAAUUAGCUCAGAUUUUAAUUCAAAAGAUGUGUUAUCAUUUAAAUGCGAAAAAGUAAUGCAUAAGAACUGCUGAUUUAAAUCAGGAGCAGACAACUCUCUUAGUGUGCGUGCAUUUGCCAUGGUGACUUCCUUUUGGUCUGAAUCACUCGAAAUAUCACCACGUAAACUCAUCGACUCAACCUCUGGAUCAAGUCCUUGAGGUGCAACACUGGAUUGCUCCUCGCUGAGUUGUCUAGUUUAUUUCCUAGUUUGGCGUGCAGUUUUCUCUACUUCAGGGUCGAAAAUCAAUUCGCCUGUACGAGAAGAACGAUGCAUAAAUUAGAAAAAAUAUCAGAAAAUUAAAAUAAAAUAAAACUUACAAAGAAACAAAUAAUUAACGCUAGUCCCCGACAACGGCGCCAAAAAUUGACACCUGUGCAAUAAUAAUAAUAAAACCUAACUACCACCAAAAGCAGUCAAUAAUCAAUUCUAGUUACUAGAGUAGGAACUCUAGGUGUGCAAUAGGUCACUUGAUUCACCCUAUUCUCAAAGAAUUUGUUUAAUCCGAUAUACCAUAAUGAAUUAGCUAACAAAUUUUACUAACAAAUAGAUAGUGGCAAGUAGGAUCGUCUCCUCGGGGAUUUGGGAUAUUUGUCUCUUUGAAGUUCCAAUUGGCAAUAAGGGAUUUUUGUCGAAAUAAGAGUAAGAGAAAUUAAACAAUUCAACCAAAAAUAAAUAAUUAACUAAAACGACCAUAGAUAAGAAUUAAAUCAAUAAAAGACAAACUCUAACCAAGAAUACAACAUCUCAGACACAAUCCGCUCAUCCGAUCAUUAAUGCAAGGGAGGUUCACCUAAUUUAUUAAUAGGUUAGUUAUAGUUACCAACGAGUUUUGACGACCAAUUUUUUCUUAAUUUAUUUAUAACCAAAGUACGACCAUUGAUUACCCCUAAUCAGAAAAUACUCCUAAAUACGACCAUAGGAAUUAAUUUCCUAAUUACAUUAAGAACUAGAAAAACCUAAUCCCAAUCAAUAACACGUUACGAGGGUUAUUUAAAUCAGAUUGCACGUUCCUAAUGUAUAAAAAUGCUAUUUGCCACUGAUAUUAAUCAAUUUAAACAAUUAUGAAUUUAAUUGACUAAUUUGGCAGGAGUUUAAUAAGUCGCAUUGAACAUUGGACCCUUGACAUCCAAUUAACAAAGUAAUCUCACGAAAAUUCAAGCAGAUAACGUGCAAAUAUUAACAAAUUAAGGAACGCAUGAAAAUUAAUUCGAUCUCACAAAUAUUCAGAAUUGCGUCGUCGCGUUGAUCCUUGACUAGAUGAAAAACUUAGCCACGCCGUAUAAGUAAACUCCACGUAAAUUAAUUGAUUCACAAGACAUCAGGCUUUUCACUAGAUAAUCAAGAAGUAAAAGAUGUUUCUUCAGUUAGGAAUAUUGUCGAACACCAGGAAUGCAUGAAAAGAAAAGACGCAACUGUCCUAUCUCUAAGCAAUGACUAAAUCUCCUAUCCCUACGUGGUCCUUGCCGAAAAUCAGAAGAAAAGACAAGGCCCUACUCAAUGUUUUUUUUUUACCAUUUCCUCUUGCUAAUAAGACUCCCUCAUACAAGUCAUGUCUUCAUCAGCAAAGGAAAAUGAAGUCUGUUGCUUCGUACUCUGUGGGCCAGGUUUGUGCAGCUUUUAGAAGUCUUCCACGUGUGGAGCAAUUUUUUCCAGAAGGUCUCCAUUUUUUUAGCACUUUUCAGUUCCACUUCCUGUAGAUUGGUCCAAAUACCAAAUAUAAGUAUAUGUUAACAAUUAGGCAAUAUUUGGCAAGAACAAAGAGGAAAAUUAACAAUAAAGUUACUAACAAUUAACACCCUAACAGAAAGAAAGCAACCAAUAGUUGCAGUCUCUUUAUAGUUUGAACCAGAGGAACUAGGCUGUGCAAGGCAGAGCCUUGGCCCUCCUAAAAAUAUUGAUCAUUGGAAAAGCAUAUAUAACAAAUCUAGUUGCAAAAUAGGUACAUAAUAUCAUAAUUACCAUUCAUAGAUAGCUGUCAAUAAUUUCAGUAGCAGUUACACACCUUUUAGUACAAUUAAGUCCCAAGUAGAGAUACAUAAUGCAUGCUAAUAGUUACAUAAUAUCAUAUAUUAGGAUUCAUUGACUUCUAGUCAUAGAGAGAAUGUUAAUGGAUUCUAAUAUGAUGGCAAAAGAUAGUAUGCUAGAAGUUUAGUAGUAUCCAUGAUGAACAAAAGAGAACAUGAAGCUGUGUGACUACUUCAUUUUGCAGAUUCACGGGGCUUCUUGAGAGGGCUCAUAUGAGCAGAUUUUGAAGAUGCAGGCUUGUUGUCUUCAGGACCAUUUUUUCCAGCAAUUGAGAGAAGGCUUUUACUCUUCAUAACAGAAAGAAAACCAUUAACUACAUCAUGUAUCUCACAAUCAUGUAAAAAUGAAACAGAUAGCAAUUAAUAUGCCUGAAGCUUAAAAUUUUUUAACAUGAGACAUACAACCUGUAAUAUAAUCAACAGCAGAUAAAUCCAAAUCCUUUAGACCAAAAAAAAAAGCAGCACAAAAUUUAGUUUCUUAGACAAACCUGAGAGCUGUAUAUGCCAACUUGUUGGAGCAAAAGAUGCACACCAAAUAGAAUAGCCAGCUUCAGUUGAAGAAACAGGUCAACAUUUUGUAAGCAUAGGCAAAAAAAAAAAGCAAAAUCAGUAUAAGAAAAGGAAGAAUAAAGAUUCACAAUGAAAAAGAAAAUUGAAGAAUUACAAUAGCAGUGCUAUUGUUUAGUUAUGAUCUAGAAGUAUAAAAAUAUGUUUUCAAGUAAAGUAAGUACAUUGUGAGAAGAAAAUCAACCAAAUUAAUCAAUAAUGGUCUUAUAACUCUCAUUAUUGAUCUGUUUACUAUUAUGUUAAGUUUUACUGCUAGUGAAAAUAUAGUCAAAUGAUCUGAGCCUAAAACAUUGUCUGGAUAAGCUGUUUACUAAUAUUGUUAUAUAAUGGUGAAAACCUGAAAAAAAAAAAAAAAAAAACCUUGAUCCUAUAAGGUUAUGAAGACAUGUCUAUCUGUGGUAGAAGUGAUAGUUUGCAGAUUUAGAGACUCUAAGGUCAGGGCAUUUAUGAACCAUUAACAAAUUCUUAAUGACAAUUUUAGUUUUUAUUGUUGAUAGGAAGUUAACGUGGCCAUGGUCUCCUAUAUCCCUGUAUAUGGCUGAAGUUGUAGCUAUUUCCUAAGUUGCUAUAAUACAUGGCUUCUACAUGGAUGUUUAGUUAAUUAAUAAGCAGACUGAUAAAUCUGUUUUUUAAGGAGAGGCCAAAGAAAAAGUGCAAUGGAAAAUAAUUAAGUAUACAGGUUCUUCAUGGAGCAUAAUCUUAAGUGACUGUAGUUUCUGCAGUAGUAUUUUUUAUUCAUGAUAUAUGUAGUUUUUGCACCAUAACCUACCAAAAUUUGAUUUACAAGAAAUUUCUUGAAAGGGAACGAAAAUUUGUCAACAAAUAUUGAAAAAGCAACAUCCUUUUUUUCAGAAAAAAAUAAAAGUAUCAAUUCCAAUAUCUUAAAUAAAGUUAAGAGGUUGGUAUCAAUGGCAAGAAGUGCACUUUAUCUAAACGAAACUGAUAAUCAAGAUAUCUAAGCUUCAAAAUUGGCCGAAAAUGAAAACUCAAAAAGCUAAUUGAACAGCUAACCCAAACACAACUGCAAAAGGAACAAAAAAGAAUACAUGCAAUGCAAAUUAAAUAGGAAAAAGAAAAGAAGAAUAAACCUGAUUAAGUGAAGUAUUAUAUCGAAUUACAGAUCGAAUUACAGGAGCAAAAAAAAUCGUUUGAAGUAUUACAAAUGAAAAGGACCCUUACCAAAGCUAGAGGCAGAAGAAGCUCCCUUCCAAACGCAAGGUCUUCAGAGAAAGAUAUACACCCUGUAUAUGGGCACUUCCCUUUCUUUUCCUUUUUAAAACCUAAAAACCUAAAUUACUACUCACUUAAUGUCUAUCACAUCAAAUCCCUGAAAAUAUGAUUUAGAAUUACGGUGUUCAUGGGAAAAUUGGAUGGCUGCAAAACCAAUUCCAGUACAAAUGAAAGAAAUCAAACGACUGGCCACUUUUGUGGGGAAAAAUCCCUGAAUUUUGGGGAAAAAGAAGACACCUAAUCUUUGAGGGAUUUCAAGCCUUCCAUGCUUCCAAGUACAAUAAGCAUGUGAAGGAGCCAUCUCAGCUACAGGAAGGGAAGAGUACUUGCUAGUACUUUCACCCGAAGAAGAAGAAAAGAAGAGAUGCUGGUUUCUUGUUUGUCUGAAGUGCUUGAAAUGAAAUGGGCCGGUUGUCUGAAGUGUUCGUCUGAAGUGGUUGAAAUGAAAUGGGUCCUAUUGGUUCUAUUACAAUGUAACGGGCAAUGGAAUAUCUUCUUGCUGGUUCCGUUGGUUUCUUGUAUGCCUUUGUUCCAUUGUUGCCCUCAUUAAAAAAAAUCUAGCCAAGUGUCAAAUAAGUAGCUAGCCACUUGUCAAAAAGAGAGAUGCUACAGUGACCACCACUCUCUUUUUAUUAUACUUGAGGGACUAGAUCAACCUAUGUACAAGUUUUUUUUUUUUAACUCAACAUCUUAGUGUUGCUGGAACUUGACUAUAUUUCCAAGAGAGGCCUGUGUUACUAGAGGUUGUACGGUGGACUGUUUGUUUGUUUUCUAUUGAAUUAUAUGUUCUAUUUUAGGCGAACUAUGCUAUUAGAUUGUAAUGUGUAAAUAAAUUGCUAUGGAAUCACUGUCAUUUACCUUUGCCAACUAAUGAUAGUAGUUUUUAUUUUUUUUCAUUUUAGUCACGCCUUUUUUUUUUUCCUUUCUUUCUUGCUAGUGUUAUUUAACUAUUACCAAAUAUCUUUCUUUAAGUGUGUAACAGUUUUAAAUUUUUCAAACAGAAUUGAAAAAAGAUUUAUUUCGUACAUGUAUUUAUAUGAAUCAUAGUUAUUUUUGUAACUUAAUUUCAGUUUUUGUGAUUUUAGAUGGAUAGCUUGGUGAUUAAUUCUUGAUUGUAUUAUUAAGACUAUUUACAUAAAAAUCCACCUCGUAAUAGAUAUUUAACCAAUAGACCAUUUACUCGGAAAUAUUGGAGAUAGAUGAAGAAUGUCACAAUAUUUUAAGGAUGAAUGUCUAAGCUUUUAACAGAUUAAUUUACAUUCUCAAAGAUAUUGGUAGUUUAUAUGACACAUUACAUGUAUGCAUUGAGGAACAAUUAGCAAUGUUCUGUAUGGUAUUGGUCAUAAUGAGAAAUAUCAUAAUCUAAAAUGCUAUUUCAAAUAUUAUGGAGAAACUAUAUGUAGAUACUUUUCAGAGGUCAUAAAUACAAUAAUAUCAUUGUGAGAUGAUUUCAUCGUACAACCAACUGGGGAAACUCCACAAGAAAUGUUGGCUAGUUUACGCUUUAUACCAUAUUUUAAGGUACAUAUAAUUAUUUGUUACCUUAAAUAAUUUUAAAAACCUUAUAUUUAUGCAAUUAAUAUUUUCCUAAAAUAUAGGAUUGUGUGGAUGCAAUAGAUGAAACUCAUAUUGAUGCCCAAGUACCAAAAAGAAUUGUAGCUCAAUUUUAUGGUAGACAAGGCAAACCAACUCAAAAGAUUUUAAUGGUGUGCUCAUUUGAUAUAAAAAUAACAUAUGUUAUUUCAGGAUGGGAAGCUCAAGGAUAUUGGUUUAUGCUCUUACUUGUAAUUAAAAGAUUAAAUAUUCUAAUGAUAAAAUUUUAUAUAUUUAAUGAUGAAUAAUGUUGUUUUGGUAUUUUCUUUAUUAAUUAGUUAUAUUUUAUUACAUGUAGGAAAAUACUACCUAGUAGAUACAUGAUUGGCUUUUUUAAAAUAUCUUAUUAAUUAGUUAUAUUUUAUUACAUGUAGGAAAAUACUACCUAGUAGAUACAUGAUUGGCUUUUUUAAAAUAUCUUAUCUCUCAUUUUUAAAAUAAAAUACCAUUUGAAUGAAUUCACUGGACGGAAUCCUAAAAAUACCCGAGAAUUAUUUAAUCCUAGGCAUGCAUAUUUAAGGAAUGUGAUCGAACAUUUGGGAUAUUAAAGAAAUGUUUUGCAAUUAGGAGAGAAACACCAAUGCACCCAUGGAUUAUACAAGCAAAUGCAUUGAUUGCAAUGAUUGCUAGUCUAUCCUAUAUUAGUAAUGUCCUUACUUGCUAAUACUGUGACAAGAGAUAUUUAAAAAUAAAACAAUAAGUGUAAUAAUCUCAUCAUCAUAACUCUAUAUGAUUUUCUAUAUAUGAUUAAUUAUUCAAAGAACUUUAUAAUUUGCAUUGUAUAUAACAAUAUGCGUAAUAAAAAAUAAUAAAGAUGCUAUGAUUAAAUUGAGUAAAUAUAAAAAUGUAAAUACAACUCUAAAUUCGAUUGGAAUUAGGGUAUACAAUAUUAAUAUUAUAGUAUUUGUGCUUUUAUGCCUAGAAUACUUUCGUAAGGCCUUUUACAAGAAUACUUUCAUAAGGCUUUUUUAUAUUGAUGCAUAACAUGUAAAGGGUGUGUUUUAGAGUUGGGUGAAUUGCACAAAGAAGAAAGUUCACAGAUAGAGCUGAGCCUAGCAGAGUCUAGCGCUCGACUUAGGGCCAAAUAUUGUAUGGUUCCUGUUCAGUUUGCAGAGCCACUAUGACUGGUGCCGAUCAUUGAGUCCGAUAUAAGACUGAACAUUGAUUGAUGUUGCUGCUUAUUUUGCUCACUUUAUUUUCUUUUCUUUUCUUUUGGUUCAUAAAUAUUGUAGCCUAAACUGGCCAACCCUAGGUAUUUCUUAUUAUUCAUUCAUCAACUUUGAUCAAACUUUGUUGGGUUUUUCCAAUUAACUAUGAGAUUUCUGUCGUUUCAAUGCGUCGUUGAUUUGUUUUCAGGAAUUAGUGCAUGAAACCUUUUCCUUUGGGAUUCGCUUUCAUAUUAGUUGGUACUAUAGUGGAUUUCUCUUGGAAUGGCAAUUGAUAAUAGGAAUCUUAACCCUAACCCAAAAGAUAGAGUUGAGGUUCAAAUAACAUGAAUGUUGCGCAUACGACUCGCUUGGGGGCUAUGGACACAUUCUUUGAUCCAAUGGAAGAAAACUCUGAGCACAUGGAGAGGAUAUUAACUACUUUCAUGGAGCGAAUAGGGUUGUAGAAUAGUUAGGAUCAAGACGAGGAUAGUGAUCGAGUCGAAAGAGUUGCUCAAGAUUGACACCAGAAUCAACAUGAGGUGUAUAUUCCUUAUGGAAAUCAGAACCCUGAGGAUAGUUCUUCAGAUGAUGAUGCUCGUGUGAAAAAUCCUAACCCUAGGGUUCAACAAAAUUGUGAGUCCAAUGAAUUCAAGUUGAAGGUCGAUGUCCCGGCUUUCAGUGAAAUCCUAGGCAUCGAGGAUUUUCUUGAUUGACUUGCUGAAAUUGAACGUUUGUUCGACUAUAUGGAUAUUCCAAAGGAGAAGCAAGUCAAAUUUGUUUCUUCCAAAUUGGAGUGUGGGGCUUCCUCUUGGUGGGAGCAAUUGCAAAUGAAUAGGCAAAGGCAAGGAAAACAGUAUGUUCGAUCCUGGUUAAAGAUGAAGUGGCUAUUGAAGCCGCAUUUCUUGCUCACAGAUUAUGAGCAGUACCUCUACUCACAUUGCAAAACUAUGUCUAAGGUGCCCGGUCAAUUUUAGAGUGUAAUUUUGAAUUUUUAUGCUUGUUGUCUCGGAAUGAUAUCAAAGAAAUUGAGAAUCAAUUAGUGUCAAGAUACAUGAAUGGGUUGAAUGACAACAUUUGCGAUGAGAUGGAUUGUAAUCCUAUUUUUACAUUAUCUGUGGCCCAAAAUUUAGCCAUAAAGGUUGAGAUGAAAAUAGCAACAAAGAAAAAUUCUAGGAGUAGUGUGUUACAUUUGCAUCUUAAAGGGCCGAUAGAGCCUCUUGACAAGGGAUAUUUAUGGCCAACACUAGAGUCACAGCGUGGGCGUUAUAGGGCUAACAAGAGGCCAGUGGCUGAAACUAAGGCAGUUCCUAAAUGCCAACCUAUCAAUCUUGUACUUUCCCAGAGAAAUAACCAGCCAAACAACCCAUAUGCCAAGUCUAGGGGGUGACCAUUGCUGGAGAGGUACAAGCAGUCUGGACACAGGUCUAAUAAUUGCAUUAAUCGCCAAAGGCAAAUUAAUUUGGCUUAGCACACCAGAGAUGUAGAGGAACCACGGGAUAAGGAGGAAUACACUUGUGGUUGAGUAUGACUACAACUAGCCAGUGUAUAUGGUGCGCAAAGUGGAGCCUGUUAAAGAGGUGGCUACUCAAUGUGAUCAACUUUUUAGUACCACAUGAACAAUUUUUAACUGCAUUUUUUACUUAAUUAUUGACAAUGGAAGUUGUGAGAAUAUUAUUUCUAGCUCCUUAGUGAAAUUAGCCAACUUACCUGUAGAGAAACACCCUGAACCUUGUAGGUGGUGGGUUGGAUAAAGAAUAUGGAUCCCGUGAGGAUGACUGAGAGGUGUAAAGUGAAUUUUCCAUAGGCGGAUUUUACAAAGAUAAGAUAGUUUAUGAUGUGUUGACAUGGACACAUGAUGUGUUGCUUGGGAGCCUUAGCAGUAUGACAUGGAUGUGAGUCUGAGCAGAAGGGAUGAUAUUUACUGUUUUGUCAAGGAUAGUUGGAAGAUCAUAUUACUGCCUCUAAAGCCGAGGUCUCAAUUUAUUGCUAUCAAUUGUUAAAUAUUGUGUUACUGAAGUGCGAGUCAAUUGUAGGUAAAGAGAAACAUGAAGACAAUAAAUUUGAUGCCCUAUCUCUUGACAAAAAUAUGGAGAUGAUAUCACUAGGAUUGCAAUUAAGACCCAACAAUGUAGAAGUUCGUGUUAUUCGGGAGGAAUAUUGCUAGCUCAUUUUGACCUUGAUGGAUGGUGUCAAGGUUUUGAAACCCAACCCGGACCGUUUGUCGGACCAAUUGAACUGUCGAUUGGGCUGCUAGGCGGGCCGGGUUAUGCCUCGAACCUGGAGGGGUUAAGAAACCACCCUCUUUUGUGAAAAGCAAUUAGCCCGAAUGUUUUGACCGCUAGACCGUUGAACCGAAACAGUUUUCAUUAAACCGACCAGUUUCUUGCCCAACUUUAAUUAACCAAAAAAAAAUUAAUUUUGGUCAUCUAGUCUAAUUCAAUGACAUUCCAAAGAUAAACCUUACAAAUUACCAAUGCAUAAUUGCCUCCAAUUAGUUAGGUAUUAACAAUUAUUACCUUCUUUCUACUCCUCACUCUCUCUCUCUCUCUCUCUCUCUCUCUCUCUCUCUCUCUCUCUCUCUCAUAAUGAUAUCUUAACUUUUGUCUAACAUUUAUUGCAUAUAGUAUGUUAAUUAUGUUAACUCUUUAGUGCGUUUCAAUUGUUUGUCAUUACAUUCUAUGUAUUUUUAUUCCUUUCUUAUAAACUACUUAUCAUAUAAUUUUGGAAAAUUAAAAAUGUAAAAAAUUAAAGAUGUAGAUAAUAAUGCUAUUCUAUAUUUCUUUUACAUUUUACUUAUAAAAGUUAUUCUUGAAUUUCAAACAAGUAAGACAAAAAAGAUUAGAAUAAGGAUUGAAGUGAUUCUUUUUAACAUUAUUAUUGAUGUUUCUGCAAAUAUUUGCAUAUUUUUAGAUGUUUAAUAUUUAUGAUAUAUUUAUGACAUCAUGGGUUAAUAACGGUUUUGCCCGGUGGUUGAAGCAGUGACCUUUGAUCCAAUCAUUUUUUCGAGUCAAUGAACGGUCUGGGUUUCAAAACCUUGGAUGGUGCAAUUCAUACAAUGCAGUUCGUGGCAAAUGUUUUCCUAGGAAAGUUGCGUUUUCCUACACACCUCCAAUUUGCAAUGGUAUGGAAACCUUACAAGUUUAGAGGGAGAAUUGUUGGAGCACUUGUUCGUUCUUGUGUGGCAAUGGUAUGGAAACCUUACAAGUUUAGAGGGAGAAUUGUUGGAGCACUUGUUCAUUCUUGUGUGAGAUUUCUCUACGAACUCGAAGUUGAGUUCUUCUCAAGUAGGAGGGACUGAUGUAGAACACAUAGUGGAUGUGUUUUGGAGUACAAUGGAUUGUGCAAAGAAGAAAGAUCAUAAAUGAGACGGGCCUAGCAGAGUUUGGCGCCCAACUUAGGCCAGUCAUUGUUUAGUUCUUAUUCAGUUUGUAGAGCCACUAUGAUGGGCGCCGUAGGGCUGCAAACGAAUCGACUCGCGAGCGGCUCGAGUCGAGUUCGAGCUGCCUCGAGUCGAACUCGAGCUCAAAAUAUUAAGCCCGUUAGGCUCACAAGCUCGAGUAUAUAUAUAUAUAUAUAUAUAUAUAUAUAUAUAUUAUUUUAAGUAUAUAUAUUUUAUAUUUUUUUAAUUUUAAUAGUAAAAUUACAUAUAUAUCCUUAAUAUUUUAUUAUUUAUUAAGAAAAAAAUUAUUUUAUUUAUUUUUUAAAAAAAUAAAAUAAUUAUUUUUUAUUUUUUUCAAGCUCGAGUUCGAGUUCAAUGAAAUUAUAUCGAAACUCGGCUCGAUUAAGCCAAAACUCGACUCGACUCGGCUCGUUUGCAGCCCUAGCGCCGGUCAUUGAGCUUGAUGUAAGGCUGAACAUUGCUUGAUGUUGCUGCUUAUUUCCUCGUUUUAUUUUAUUUUAUUUUCUUUUCUUUUGGUUCAUAAAUAUUGUAGUCUAUAAAUUGGCCAACCCUAAGUACUUCUUAUUAUUCAUUCAUCAACUUUGAUCAAACUUUGUUGGAUUUUUCCAAUCAACAACGAAAUUUCUCUCGUUUCAACAAAUUGUUGAUUCGUUGAUAGGAAUUGGUUUGUGAAACUUUUUUCUUUGGGAUUCGCUUCCAUAAUAUAUAUUCUCUUUUUCAUAGUGAAAUUUUGCUCAUCUGACCGUGGACAUAGGUCAAUUUGACUGAACCACCUAAAUCUAUUGUCUAUCCAUUUUAUUAAUUUCUUCUUUGCUAUUAUCUUUUAUGGGCUGCCAAGAGCACAAAUCAAUUUUAUGAGCACAAAUCAAGUAAUUAUCUUUUAUGGGCUUCCUUUAUCAAUUUCCUGGGAUAUGCCCUAACAUCCUCUCCAAAUAUUAAUUCGGUUCCAUAUCUUUUGAUGAACAUAAUCAAGCUCAACUUGCAAAAGCCAAACUAGACUUAAAUUGGAUAUAAAUUGAAAAUUUUUUCAAAAAAAUUGUCCAUAUUAUGUACAAGAAGUCUUGAGCAAGUAAAGAUCAAAAGGGAAUUAUUAUCGUUAGGAAAAAAAAAAGUAAAGAUAAAAAAUACCAAGUUUUCCUUGUUAUACUGACUUUUCAGUAUUUUAAGAAUUUCAACAACUUUCCUAUUAAUCCAAGUGAAACAAGAUAUAAUAAAAGAGCAAAAUACACAAAACUUGUAAAAGUGACACCACUGAUCAGUCAUUUAUCAUAACCACAAAAUUCAUUGGCAGCCUAAUUCUUUAGAUGUAUGUACUCAUCAGAUUUUGAAGAUUGAAUUGCAAUAGCCUAUAUCAAGUAGUAAACAAAUCAGUUCGUGUUGUCUACUUCACAAGCCAUGCAAAGUAUAUAUUUGCCUAGUUAUUUAUUAUUCUAAGCUCAACCUACAACCUUUUUACAAACACGAUGGCUUUCAAAACUUAUAAAAUAAUUUUCACCCUCCAAUGAACGGAAAUAACGAAUGCCGAUUAUACACAACGGAUCUUCUGUCUCACACCCUGUGCCACUCUCUGUCCCACUUUUUAUUAUAUUGCUAUUUCUCUUUCACAAACAUCAUGUUUUAAUUCUUUUUUGUUUCCUUAAGAUCCAAUAACUCUUAAUUGAGUAAUACACAAAAUUUAACAAACUCAAAAAAUCAAAAUGCAUAAAAAAUGAGAUUUUUUAUGAAUUUUCUGCUGUAUUUUUUAAUUUUCUAUUAUAUAUUAGUUUUUUGAAGCUGUUGUAUUUAUUUUUUACUCAAUUAAAAGUUAUUGGAUACUAAGGAAAUAAAAAAGAAUUAAAACAUGAUGUUUGUGAAGGAGAAAUAGCAAUAUAAUAAAAAGUGGGACAGAGAGUGGCACAGGGUGUGGGACAGAAGAUCCGUUGCGCCGAUCAUAUGAGUGAAGCACUGGGGAGGUGAGAAGGAGGUGAGAGGAAGAGGGUAAGAAGCACAGGAGGGGGGCGGUGCGACUUGGGAGGGAGGAGGUGGAGAGAAGGAUGGGGAAGGAGGAGAGACGAGAGGAGAGCAUGUGGAAGGGGUGUUUCGAUAAAAUUCAUAUCAAUUCUUUGGUGUUUUGAGUGAACUCCUAAAAAAGUAUAGUGGUUUAUAGUAUAGUGAAGUUUUAAGCAAAUUCUCAAAAAAGACACAAUCUCUAAAUGGACAUCUUUUUCUAAGAACAUUUUUCCUUUAAAAAAAAUGGCAUCUAAAUGGAGCCAUUAAUAACACUUCAUAUCCCAAAAAAAAAAAAAAAAAACGCACACACACACACACACACAUAGAGAUACACAACUUAUCCUCAUCCACCGAUUUCUAUAAGAAAAUGACAAAAAGAAAAAAAAAAAAAGACAAAAUCAUACUCUUAAACGUGGGACACUUAAGCCUCGUUUGAAAUUAUAGUGCUUUUAAAAAUGCUUUUAAGACAUUUGGAGAAUAUAAUCACAUAAAAUUCGGAACGGAGUUUUUGGUGUUAAAAUCAUUUUUAGUAAAAGUUCAAAUUUGGUACUUUUAGAGUAAUUUUUGUGAUUUAAAAAAUAAAAUAUUAAUUUAAUCAUUUUAUUCUAUAUUAUAAACUAAAUAAAAAGAUAAAUAUAUUUAAAAAUUUUAAAAUCACACAUUAUUUAAUACAAUAAAUACUUAUUAAACUAUGUUUCCAAAUAAUAUAUUUAAAAGCACUUAAAAUACAUAAUAAAUACUUUUAUUAAAAACUCUAUUGAAAAAGUGCUUUUCCACAAUUAGUUACCACAACUCCAAACGAGUCCUUAAUCUAAAAUCAACUGCACUUAAUUUUUUUGGCUUUUCCACAAUACUACCACAGAUCACAUUUAUGCUUCAUAAACCCAUGUACAAUUUCCCCAUGAAGGUAAACAUGAAACACCUCCUGUAGAAUUCGACAUCUUUCUGAUAUUAUAAUUAUUUCAUACAUUAACUCAACCGGCACAGUAAUUUGAAAGAAACCCAAAAGAAGAGGUCAAUGGUAUCUAGAGUACAUGACUUGAAGCUGCUAUUUGCAGCUAGCCAUUUCAACAGAGUGCACAUACAAAAACUAUUAUACACCAUUCUUUUGACAGCAAAACGUUACCGAUUAAUUUGUAUUCUAUACAUUAAUUUACCUUCUGUAGCCUGCAAAAAGUCCAAGAGCAAAAAGUUGGUGUAUGUGUGUAAGGCUCGUGUAUAAACAUUUAAUCAAUGAUAAGUAAAUUGAUAUAUAGCUCUAUCAACUCAGACAUCUCUAUGUUUCCAACUUCCAGUAUUUCUACCUAAAACUCCUGCAUUCAACAAUCCCAGUUUAGUAAUUCCGCCGCAGCUCUUAAUCACAUUCAAGUACCUGGAAUGUGUUGUGUAUCCCUUUUGUUGAUUGGGCUUCUUUCUGGAACUUCAGAGAUAUAAAGCUCACGCUCUUUAUUCAUGGUAUUCUUUUGGGAUGUUGUGAAGAUCAUAACCACUACCGAAGCUUGUGAUGUCCUUUUUAGGACGGAUAUAUACAUGAAGAAAAUCCAUCAUCUUGCAACAUUCGGGGUAUGCCGUCCAUAUUUAAUUGAUCUCUAUUGGUAUCCCUGAAUCAAUAAAGAAAUCUUCAAAUUUUGCAAGAGAACUUAACUGCUGACCAAGAGAAGCAAUUGUUUUUUGGCACUCUGCAAAUUUACUAGCUGCCAGUGCUAAUUCCUUCUCCUGUGACAGACAAACAAGCAUACACAGAUCAACAAAUUAUUUGUAAGGCUUUUAUACAUGAUACUGGGAAGGGUAAAAUAAAAAAGGAAGUCUAGCAACAGAAACGUCUUUAGUGCCAUUUGUCCCACUCAUUGUAAUUGUGUCAUCUACAAAUUACGUAUUGGUGCGAUUCCUCUUCAAGAUCCCAAGGAAAGCCAUCAGUAAAAUUUCAUUCAUGUCAGAUAAGUUUUGAAAUAAGGGAUACUUAAAGUAACAUCCAAACCAAAUUACAUCUGUGGAGUUACCUAGAAUGUUUUUCAAUGGAAAGGACACAAUUACUUGAAAGCUGAGGACCUCAUGAAUGCAACCCAAGAAACACACAAGCCUUUCUUAGAGUUAGGCCAAGUUAGCAAGUCACAAUUGAAUGGCUGAAGUGUAAGAAACUUUGAAAUACUGAGAAAAAUAGAAAGCCUUGCAAGCAUCCUUGAUAAAGCAUUGUUUCAUCUGUUAGCAACAAGAUUUUAGACCAUGUCUAUCCUAAAACUUCAUGUAGAAUUUUAUUUGAUGCAUCGAUGUAAUGUUUUUUCACCUUGAUGAAGAUGACAGAUCUUACUGACAAAGCCUUAGCAACACUGUGCCUAAUUAAUAAUAACAUUUCAAAUGAUAAUCAGAGUUGUCCUCAAGCAAUCUUGAAAAAUAACCACAAGAAUGAUUGAUAUUGCCAGGCUAGUUCAAAGCAAUUUAUGCCCUAAAAAAUACUUAGAAUGCUAAAAGAGCCCAAAUAGUAGGACAAAUAUCAGUGGUCCAAAUCCAUGAGACAUCAUAUAUAAACCAUAUUGGCAAAUUCAGAACCAUCUUUUCCAAGUAGGCAAUGCAAAAUCUUGACAUGAUCUAAAAUCCUCCAAUUGUAGGAUAAUUGCCAAUUCUUUCAGCUUUUCCAAGGGGAAGCCUUGGUACAAUGGCAACAGUGCUCCAUUUUAAGGUUGCAGAUGAAGUACUAGCAACAGCUUGAUGCAAGAUGAUAACGUUGCGGAUGAAAUACCAGUAACACUAUCCUAUUUAAGAAACAUUGCCAGUAAUCAGUAAAGACCAUUGAAAUUGUCCUCUAGGAAUGGAAAUUUCCAGGAAUGAGUAUUUCUAGGCUAAUUCAAUGCUUUCAUGUCCAGGACAUACUUAGAUAGCUAAAUCAGACCAAAUAGCAUGACAGGUAUAGGUUGUCCGAACCCGUGUAGUCAUCAUGAACCAUAUUGACAAAAUCAGAGUCACGCUAUUGAAGUAGGUAAUAUGAAACCAUGAGAUGAUCUAAAGAAAUUCAAGCAGAUGGCAGUGUAGUAGCUUAUAACUUUGAUUUUUCAACUUAGUACUUAAUAAGUUUCGUGUUGCAAGUCCUCAAGACUGUGUUUAGUAACUUACCUGAUUUAUUUUGACCUCUCCAGUAGUUGCUGCUUUCCAAAGCUGAGAUUUAUAUUUUAAUUGUAAGAUCUCAGCAUUCAGUUUCUGACAAUUUGCAAAAGCUUCAUCUGACAGAGCACGUUCUUUCUGAAUAUCUUCUUCCAAAUUACAGAUGCUUGAUCGCAGCAUCUGAAGCUCAAGUUCCAAAGCUUUGACUCUUGACUCUGCAACUUCUUUCUUGAUGUUUGUGGCUUCAAGUUCAGCCUCUCUCUUCUUGUUUGAUUUAUUUGCAUUAGCUAGCUGAGCAGAAACCUCAGACAAAUUGAUCUCUGUUUCCUCCAAAAGUUUAGUUGAUUUCAUAAGUUUUUCACUGGUAGCCUUGACGUCCAUCUCAGCAGCACUUUUUGCUUCAUUUGCCAUGCUUAACUCAGAUUUGAGGUCUAGUAUAGUAACUUCUGCUUUUGCUAUCUCCUCCAUGAAUUUCUCAAGCUGUUUGUUGGUAGACUCAACUUCAGCCUCAACUGUUCUCCUACCUUCAUUUGCCAUAACUAGUUGAAUUCUUAACUCUGUCAACUUUGUCUCUGUUUCCUCUAAUUGAUAUCUUGAUGCCUCAAGUUGAUGUUGACACUCAGUUAGAGACAUUUUUAAUUGAACUUUCUCCUCUUCCAUCUUCUCCAACUUUUCCUCCAGCUCCGCAGUUCGAUUAAUCAUGGCUUCAAGUUCAGUUUUUAAAAUGUUCACCCUAUUGUCACUUCCAGAGUCAGGGCAGCUUUCCUCCUCUGCUUCUGGUAGAGCAGCAAGCCUCUCCAUUUCAAGAAAAUCAUUCAUGAGAUGCAGCUCGUCAGAAGGGACCAUGAAGUUUCUUCCAAGAGGUUUCUCAUUCUUAAACUGAUCUAGUUCUGAUAUUGAAAUAGAUGCACUCAAAUCAGACAGGCCUGGCUCAUAAUCAUUCAGCUCCAAACCACUCAUUUUGCAGCUCUCAUUGUCAACUGCUGAUAGCCUCUCCCCACAAUCUGAUAGACUAUCAGUGAAGGAUGCUAAAGAUCUGUGAUCAUUAACAGUUGCACCUUUGCGGUUCAGCAUCUUUAACCUACGGCAUUCUGCUUCAAGCCUAACUACCUUCUUGAUGCUCUCCAGAUGUUGCUUACUAGCUGUUUCAGCAGCAUGGACGAUGAGAUCCCUCUCAGAUGUCCUCAGUUUCAAUUCCUUGUCUUUGGAAAGAAGCUCAAGUUUGAGAACUGCAUUUUUGUUUUCUGCAGCUUCAAGUUUAAUGCAAAGAUCAGGAAACGUAGAGGUAACAGCCUCUGUUUCGGCAUUUUGAAGUUUAGUCUGAAGGUUGACAAGCUGAUUCUCAAGUUCAGCUUUUGCUGAUUCCCAUUCAACAAUUUUAUGCGCAACAGCCUCAUUAAUCUUCUGUUCUUGUUCUUCUUUUGCUUGUCGAAGCUGUCUCAAACACUCUUUUAGUGCGCUGUCAAGAUUUCCAACCCGUUCUUCAAGCGCCAAGUUUUCUUGGGUUAGUGCCUCAGCACGUCUUUUUAGUACUAGUACUUCAGCUUCAGCGUUCUCCCAUCCUAAAGGAUUACAGGAAAUAGGUUCAAUUGUUGUUCAUCAGGCUACAAUCUAGGAAUGGCUCUGACAGCAUGCUUCAAACUAGAUGGCAAAUACUACAAAGUUACAUCACAAGAUGUCAUGACUGGUUGAAAUUUCAUUUAACAGUUGCUCAACCAUUAUGUAUAAAAGGUCACACCAAGUCCCUGAUGCAGCAAAAGCUUUAUCCAGAAACCGAUCUGAAAACAAAAGUUCCAGAAACAUCCAAACAAAAUGCCUAGUACCACAUUACCACAUAAUCAGAUGCAAUGGACAAAAGAAUCAAACAUCACCAAGCCUGUUGAUAUUUCCCAUCACAAUAUAUACUCAAGAAGAUUGAUACAAUUUAUUCUUAAGAGACUGAGAAUCAGCCUAACUCAAAAUAAGAUGGUGCAACUAUUUUCAGCUUGGUAAAAUAUAAAGUUCCAAGCAAUACAGCAAGAAGUCAAUAAAUGUCCGUUGACCCAUGGAUGCUAAUGUGAUCUAAAAUGUGAAGAGUUAUAGAAUUCAGAAGAGUAAUUUAUUACUCAGUAUCACCAUCAGUCAUCUUUUUUAUAUAAUGUGAAUAUUUGUUCCCUGUCUCGCUAUCUGUCAUCUUUUUACUAUACUGUUUUUCGCCCAUGGAUGCUAACAGGAUAUAAAAAGCCAAGAGUUAUAGAAUUCAGAAGAAUAAUUUAUUACUCAGUAUCACCAUCAGACAUAUUUUUAUAUAAUGAAAAUAUUUGUUCCCUGUCUCGCUAUCCUACAUCAUUUUACUACAUUGGAACCGUAUUAAGUACCACCAUUUUCAGACCAUCAACUGAGCUUAUAAAUGACGUCCAGAACCCACUGAAAGAUAAGUAACUAGUUCAGGUUUAACGUAGAGUAGUAGCCAUACCUGAGACAGCUUCCUCAGCCACUUUAGCAUGCUGCUUCACCAAGUCCUCCUUUGCACGGAGGUUAACAAGAGCCUCUGAGAGUUUAUCUGAUAGAGCCUUCAUGUUAUCAUGGAGUUCUUCAAUGCUAGGAGUAGUAGCUUUAGAUGUGACUUCUGGUGACUGAAUAUUAUUAUUCAAAAGUGCCUUUGAGGACAAAACUACAUCUAUCAGAAAUCAUAAAGAAAGGCCUUAAAAAAUAACAGUCAGUCUAAUUCUUUAAAAAAAUAUUUGUGUUUUGCUUUGUCCAUCUGGGGGAGGAGCAACUUGAUCAAAUAAGGAAUGAAUGUUAAGAAUUUUAGACCGCCUUUAUAUUCAAUGAAUCAAAAUACUCUUGUGCCAGAGAGAAAAAGAAGAAUGCAUAUAUAUGCAUAAAUAAAAGUGGAUAACUAGAGCUACAGGAAAUAAACUGCAAGGCACUAAGAUGUUCUAAAGAUUUCAAUAUUUGCAUUAGUUUCAAGCAAUAGAAAGGUAGCAGAAAUGUAGGAGCUUAGUGUUAGCUUUUGCUACACUGUAAAUAAAGAAACAAACUAGCAAACUACAUAUGAAGACUAAACUACCAAAACUGCACCAGUGCCAUCUACAAUGGUAAGUUUCAUAUGAGUCCAGACAUAUAACCCAUGACUUUUAUCUCAUACUUCACUGCCAAGGAAUAUAGAAUUCAUUCCAUUGCUAAACCUCUAACAAGCUUUGUACACAAACGUAGAUCGUAGACUGGCUUCAACUAACACGGUCUUUCCCUGACCCACAAAAAUGAAUUACUCUUCAUUUCUUCUAUGAGCCAAAUGAGUUUCGUUUUGGCAAGAGACCAAUCGGAAAUUAUACAAAUUUUGUUUAUAUUUCCUUUAUUUAAAAGGUAUUUCCAUAAAAUUUUAAAAUAUGAGUGUGACAUGAAUAUUUGAAGGGUAUAACUAUUAUGACCGGAGAUAAAUUUAUUUUAUCUUAAUUGACUACAAACCAUAGACAAAUUCAAGAAUUAUAAUAUGACAUCUAACGGAGAAAAGAAACUUCUAAUCAGGGUACACACAACUUGUUUUGCAUCCAAGAACCUGAAACCUCUCAGGUUCAAUGAAAAGCAUAAUGUGGGAUUGGAAACAAUAGAAUUGCCUCUAUUUUCUAGUCUAACAAACUAUUCACGACAAUGGAUGAUUUGAGAUAACAAAAAGAUAAACUAGGGAAAUGUCCUUAUGCUUUAAUUGGGCUAAUUGUUUGUACUCUACAGUUGAUGGAACUUUAGAGACAAGUAGCAUAGCGUUUUGGUGGCAAAAUUUUGAACAUCAUGAUAAAAGGUGAGGGCAACCAAUGUGGUUCAGUUCUGACAUAUAUCCACACAAGGUGGUCCAUAGAGAUACAAAAAGCUACCACACAUGCAACGAGAUAGCCAGAUACAGUAUAUUGACUCUGUCAGAGGCUGAGUAGAAAGUAUUUUGUAAUAUAGUCAUCAAACAUGAGUUUGUGCAAAAGAUUGGUUUAGAAAUUUUCUCUUUGAGGAUUUCAUCGGUCCAAAAUCUUGGAAUUCCGAUAUAGAUAAGCUAAACAUCAUGUAAUCUUGAUUCCACCUUUGCUAUUGUCAGUAAAUCAUUUCUAGCUUGACAUGCUACACUUUGUAAACCCAACUGAAGCAAGACUAAUUCUAAUGUCUAGCAAUCAAAUGCUCACAUGUAUUCCUCUGUCAUUUAUGCUCUUAAGUAACAAAAUAACUUUCUAAACUGAGCAUCAAGAAAUGUCCAACAAGGGUAAAACCCCUUCAAUUCUACCAAAAAAGCAGGGGCAUAUCCUAUAAAAGAAACAGACACUAGCUAUCAUUUACAUUAAACAUCUCUAUAUCCCAACCCCAUUGUACAGCCAAUUUCCCCUGUUCCUCCUAACUCAUCUCCGGCUAGAUUUGACACACUGUCCAUCAGAGAAAAUUUACAAGAAAAAUCAGCAGCCACUAGUUCUAAACUGGUAAUUUUCUGAUUUAUAUACAAUUUUUUUUUCACAAACAAACUCUGAUAAAAGCAAGCUUGUUCAUGAAAUGAGUCUUUAAUUAAACUGUGCAAUAAGGCAUGGAAAUUCAAUUAAGUUGAAGUUCCACAUUUGUUACCAAAACAAACACCCAGAAUAUAUAUAUAUAUAUAUAUUCGCUUAAAAUCUGCAAAUUUGACUGCAAUGAGAUGAUAGACAAUGGGUUUAGUUUAGAAUGCCAAGUGAAGCAACCAACCUGAUCAUCAGAGAAUCUUUCGGAAUACGAUGAUAUGGAUCCAGAGCUGUCUGUUUCCCCAGUGGGACUCUUCUCUGAUGAUUUCCUCCUCCAAAGCCAACUUCUCCGGUCCAUCCUCAAUCAGUUCAUCCACAAUAGAACCUUAAACAAACACCAAAAAUCUCAAUUUCCGUAGCCCCCCUACAACCAUCCAACAUUUCCAGCUAAAUGCUGGCAAUUGAUUUCAAUCCAUGACAAAAAAAAAAAAAUUCAAUUUCAAAUCAAUCAAGUUCCAGAAUCCCAGUUCACUAAUCUUGUCAAUGAAUCAUAAUCAUCAUCACAAUCAGCGGGAAAAUGAAAAUCUACACCACCCCAUAACUAACUGAAAAUCAGAGAAAAGCCAUGCUCUUCUAUCCCUGCAAGCUUAAAGGUUGGUAAGGAGGAAAGUGAAAGAAGUUGAAAGAGGUUAAAAAUGUUCAGAAACUUAGCUUAGAAUUCACUCUCCAACUAACAUUUUCAACACCACCCACCUUCCUUCUCCCCCCAAAAUAUAAAACAAAAACAAGAAUCCAAAUUUCAAAAAUUUCUAACUGGAACCCAUUUCAAAUUGGCAACAGAAAAUGCUAAAAACACAACUAAUUUGAUUGGUACCUUUCAUUUGCCCUCAUAAUCCUCGAAGACAUAGAGUGAGAUAAAGACAUAGAGUGAGAAAACAAGUGCAAAAUUUUGCCCCUAUAUAAAGAUUGUUUCUUGACUUUUGGUGUCAAAAAGAUUUUGUCACUGUCGAUUUUGUCAUUUUCAUUCCGAUAUAAUCAGCAAUAAUCACUAUCUAACCAUUAAAGCCGUGACACCUAAAUGAUUAAAGUAAUUCAUCACAAUAACUAGUCAUUAAAACACACAUGUUAUGAUAAUUAAUUACAAUUAGUGAUUACGACAUACUCGACGUGUGUAAACAAUUAAAUAAAAAAUAUUAUUAUAACUUUUUUUGCUAAUAUUUUUUUAGUCAAAAUUAAAGUGCGAGUGGACAAAAAGAUUUGUGACUAAUAUUUUGUUCACAUCUCAAUAAUAUCUUUACAUUAAAUUUGAUUUAAUGUGAAAUUUAAAAGCGUGUCACAAAUAGUGAAUUCAAGAAGUAACAAUUGAUUUUUUUUUUCUUCUUAAUAGAAUUGGACCAUUUUAUCUUCUUACUUACUCACGCUGAAAAUAACAAGAUACAAAAUGACGUAGCGUUGCAAAGAAAGGAUCUCGCGCUUUAUGCUUUAUAUAUCGUAUGUAUGAAAAAUAUAUAUUCAACAUAAAAUUGACGAUUUUAUCUCUAAAAUAUUCUUUUGUCGAAAACAGAUAUGCAAAUUUUAACUCUUUGAAAUUUGUUUUAGAAAUAAAACUUAUUCUCAUAAGUUUGCUUUAAUGAAUAAUUUAAUUUUCAAUAAAUUGCAAACACAUGGGUGCAACGGAUCCAAAGAGGUAAAGCUCAAAAUUGAAUAUGUGAAAAGUUGAUAGCUAAGGAAAAAAAAAAUCAUAUGUGCACAUAAAAAAAAAAUGAAAUGCACACAUUUUAUGUUUAGGGUUUUGGUUUUGGCUAAAACAAAUUAAUAUUGGGCUUGUGUCGUUUUUUGGAAAAGUGAUUUUUUUUUUUUUUUGUCUGGAAGUGUUUGGUAAUUUACUAAUUUCAGAAUUUCUAUAGUGGGCCAACACUCUUUUUUUUCUAUGCUUUGCCUACGCCAUUGAGACACUAAAAGUUGUAAUGCAAUUAUAUAUCUCAAGAACAUGUACUUAGAAAAUUCCAAAACACAUUUUCUAAGGAACUUUUGAUAUGACAUGUACAUUUUGUUUAAUAAGCUGCUGCACUAAAAUUGUUUUUAAAAAUACAAGCAACCAAAGAAUAGAGAAUAAGUGUAUGCACAAAUUUUUAAGUGAUUCUGCACUUUCCAAAAGUUAACAUGCACAUGACUACUAAAGAGAAAGGAGUUCCCAUAAAAGAUAGCAUAAAGAAGUUCCCUUUUUGCAAUUGUAUCUUCUAUCAAAAAAAAAAAAAAAAAGCCUUUAGUCCAAAUAGAUAAAGAAGCUGCUUUUUUUGCAAUUAAUUCCACAAUCCAGCCAACUUCCAUGCAUGAAAAUGUAUAAAUAGGAAGGAAAGAAAGAAAUAGAAAGAAUAUUUCCAAGAGAAUUUUUGAGGUGGAACGGUGGAAAGAAGAAAGGGACAGAAGAUGACUCAUAAAAACGGAACAAAGCCUCCACAAUUGUCACUAGCAGAAUAAAUAUAGACACUAAAAUAGUGAAUAUAAAUACUAACACAAUAACACGCAAAAAUAUAAUAUUUUUUCUUACUUUUGAAAUUUGUACCCAAAAAUUGUAUUAGUGUCUAUGUUUAUUCUAUGACAUUCUAUGCUAUACAGGACAAUUGUCACUCACGACUAGGGGUGCAAACGAGUCGAAUUUUGAUCUAAUCGAACAAAGCAUUUAGUUAAUUUUAUGAAAUUCGAACUCGAACUCAAGGUCGACGAGUUCAAAAUGUCAAGUUUGAACUCGAGCUCGACUCAAAAAAUAAUAAUAAUAAUUAUUAUUAUUAUUUUAUUUUUAAAAAUAAAUAAAAUAAUAAUAAAUAUUAGGGAUAUAUAUAAUUUUAUUUUUAAAAUAAUAAAUAAAAAAUAUAUAAUCGAGCUUGCGAGCCAACGAGUUUAAUGUUUUUGAACUCGAGUUCGAUUUGAUUGAACUCGAGCUCGACAUUGACUGAUCGCGAGCGGUUCGAUUCGUUUGCAACCUACUCACGACAACGAUAAAGGAUUAUAAUCCAAUAAAACCCAUCAGAAUUAAGCACUCAUUUAUUUCAAAACCAGAAUGUGUAAUUUAAUCACUAGGUUGCAUAUGAUUCUGGUACCAGUCGCUCAUAUGCCAUACAGUGAAAUUGUCACUGACAACCAGAAUUUUCGACUUUUAUGAAUCAAGUGCUGCUGCUUCAAUUAUUGGAUGAGAAAAGUGACGAGGAUGAUAAUGAAUAAUAGCUAAAAAGAAAGAAAAUCGGGGGGGUGGGAGAAUCAGAUGAAUAUUGUGCUGGAAAUGAAAGGCUAGGGGAGAGUGACGGGUGAGUAAUUGAUGAAUGAUUAAGUUUAUUGAAGACAAUGACAUAUUUGGAUUAUUAUUAGUGUACUAUUACUACAACUAUUUGUUUUUGCUUUUUUCAAAUGGAGAUUGCCGCGCCCCGCGAGCAGGGAAUCGCGAACAAAUUUCGGAAAUGAUUGUGGGGAGUGGGAGCCACGUUGAUUGAUCAAAAACAUUUGAUUUGAGCCCGGAAAGUCAGCCUGAUUUUCUGUACCUUGUUGGAUUGGGGAAUAUCGGUCAUUCACAAUUAAUAAAAGAAGGGUUAUUAUCAAUUUAUUCCCUUAACUACUAUUAAUUUACUUUAUAACGUUAUCUUUUAGUCACUUCACUCCUAUUCCUAUAAGUAAUUCAGCUCAACAUGUUAAAAAUUUUAGACAAAAAUACCCCUUUAUUCUAUAGCUUUACAACAUUGUUAUUAUCACUUGAUCCCUUGAAUUUAUAGUGAUACAAUCACUUUAAUUCCUAACAUUAUUUUCUAGACAUUUUAUCUCAUCAUUAAUCUAACCAGUAUGGUCAAAAAAUUUUAAAUAUUUACCCCUUUUUUAAAUAUAUAAUUAAAAAUAAAAAAAUUGGAUGGUUAUUCUUCCUUUUUUCACUUCAAGAGAUGCAAAAACAUAAAAAUAAAAGGAUUUUCUCAAAUUUCUUUUUUUCACGCUUAUUAAUGCUAGAAAAAGAAAACGAGAUAGAAAAUUAGAUUUUACAAAGAAAAUAAAAAAGAGUAUAACAUUAUCGUAUUACUUUAAGGUUGUCAGAAUUAAGAUUAGAAUUUGGUGAUAUAUCGAAAAGUGAAUUAAUUUUAAAAUAAUAAAAGUAUUUAAUUCUUUCUUAUUUGUAUUUAAAAAAGAAAAAAGAAUUGAGCUCUUUCUCUCUCUCUCUCUCUCUCUCUCCUCCUUUUUCUAUUUUUUUCAAUAUUAAUAAAAUUGCCAAAAAGAAAGAGAUUAACACUUUGACUUUUUUUCUUGAUACUAAAAAGGAGAAAUGCUACUCUAAAUUAUUUAUUGUUUUAUUGUACAAAGAGGAGGGUACUUUUUUUUUAAAGUUUUUUAACUUACUAAGUUGGUUUAAUGGUGGGAUAAAUUGUCUAAAAAAUAAUUCUUUGGGGUAAAUUGAUAAUGAGGGUAUAGUUUAUAGGGAUAAAGUGAUAAUAAUUUUAAGAGCUAAACACAUCUUUUCACUUUAAUUAACAAACGCCGUUAAAUUUGACCGUUAGUUUUGGGAGUAAAGUGACUAAAUGGUAACGUUAAAGGGAAGAUUAAUAGUGACACUGAACUUUAAGGGAGUAAAGUGAUAAAAACUCAUAAAAGAAUUAAUUUUCUAUACACUGAUAGUUUCUACACUCUCAUUAUUGAAUGUAUGACACAUAAUUCGAAUUUGGAUUUGAAACCCAAAUUUUACAUAUGUGUCGUGCAUUCAAGUAUCCAACCAUAAUAGUGCAUCUACCAUCAGUGUAUAUAAAAUUUACUUUUAAUAUAAAUCUUGAGAAUAUUUUUUACAAAACAAAAAAAUAAAAGUCUUGAGAACAAAAAAGGUCCAGUAUGCAGCAAUAACAAAAAUAAAUAAAUAAAUUGGACUGAUUUUCUAUACACCAAUUGUGUAUAUAUUAUCACUAUUGGAUUCAUGAUAACUAAUCUGAAUUUCAAUGUGAAUUCAAAUACUGUAUAUAUGUCAUGCAUUCAAACAUGAUACAUACAUUAUCAGUAUAUAUAAAGAUUAACUCCAAUAAAUAUAGAUACAUGAAGCCUUCUCCUAUGGGAUAUAUUAUGAAUGUCGUGUUACUUUAUUUUGUUUUGUUUCACUAUUAAUCUUUCUUACACUAUCAAUAUAUACAUUGAUGGAUUUGGAUGUAUGUCACAUCAUCUCAUUUUGAAUUUGAACAUCAAAUUUUAUUUACAUUUCAUGCAUCCAAAAUUGCUAGUGCAUAUACUAUCAGUACAUAAAAAAUUAGGAUAAUUUCAGAAACCUCUCCCGAGGUUUUUGACAAUUGUGGCUACCUCCCCUAAGGUUUGAAAAAUUACACGUAUCUCCCUUGAUGCUAUGAAAAGAUGAUGAUAGCGUUCACAAACUUUACAAAUUUUAAAUGAAAAUGAGCUUAAAAGAGAAAAAUAGAAAUUCUUUUUUGGUAACACUUCUUUAUUCUAGAGCUCUAACGUCAUCUAAUCGAGAAUAUUAUACUUCAUUCCUAAUUUUCUGACUAGAUUUAUUAAUCAAUUUACAAAAGUUCGACCAACCUAAUAAGAGGACAUUUGUUAAAAUAAGUAUCUUCAAAAGUUACUUAACCAAAAAAUAUGUCCAAAUUACUAAAAAAGAAUCCUUUCAAAACAUGGUCUAAAUUUUCCUGCAAUAAACUAACUUGAAAUUUUCACCUAAUGGAUAAUGGUGAUAGUUGAUUUUUAGCAUUUAAUUUGUUUUACAUAUGAAAAAGGGGAUGGUGUUGGAUAUUUAUUGGAUUUUUUUGGCUUACACCAGUAAUUAUUACUAAGACAUACUUUCUAGGGGAGAUUUCCGUAAUUUUUCAAGCAUCAGAGAGGUGAUUGCAAUUGUCACAAACCUCAGGAAAGGUUUCUGAAAUGAUUCCUAAAGAUUUACCCUUUAUUUUAAUUCCAAAUUGAAAAUUCAAUUUUCAUAUCAAAACUAUGUAGUUUUAAAUUCUGUAUGCACACACAUUUAUGAGCAAGGGUGCCACGAGAAUUGUUAUUUGGGAAAGGAGACUUAUAUGGAGGGGCCAAUUAAUAUUUUUAUUAGAAUUUAGGGGGAAAGGGAAAAUUUUAAUUGGGUGUAAGUGAAAGUUUAAUUUUUUUAAGCACGCAGAUAGGAUCUCUAAAACCUGGAAGGGCAGGCUCCCCAUGAUUUAUUUAUGCAUGUUUUUAGAGGUGUGCAUGGACCAAUUAACCCAAGAUUUAACUGUUGUUAGUUAAAUAAAUAUACUUCAAAAUUUUUCAAAAAUAAAGAGAAAGAAAGAUGAGUAUGUAAUUUUCAUCUUAAGGUCAUUCAAAUUAACACCCUACACUAACAGGAAAAAAAAAUUAACACCCUACAUUAAACACAAAUGUUUCUUACUUAAAUAGUGAAUGUCACCCAUCUAAAGAAGCUCAGUUAUUAUUUAAGCAUCUUAGAUGAGUUGGUGAGGUCAUUUACCUAUUUUUUGAAAGAAAUUUUAUGGUUUGUAUAUUUUAUUUUGAUUUUUUGAUUUUUUUUCCAAUAGGGAAGAGUUGGACCUAUGAAACGGGAAUGCUGGGAAGGGCAUAAGAACUCUAAUUUAUAGAAUCUCAAUUUUAACCACUAAAUGAAAGCCUCCUUGAUGGUUUCUCAAUGUUUGAAAGUCUCAUAGAUCUUUAAUCUCUUUUCACUUAAAUACUAAUAGAGCAAUAGCACUCACAAUAGGAUUAAUGCUUUGUAUCUUUCCAUAUAUAAAGCUUAAGGCGUAAGUUUGGUGUUCAAUUUUUUUUUUGUUAAUCUUUUAUUUUUCUAGUUUUACAUUCGCAAAAGUAGAGAUUUACUAAGAUAAUACUAAAAUUUCAAUGAUUUCCAAUAACUUUCACUGUUUUUACUUCCAAUAACUUCUUUUUUUUUGUUUGCAAAAAGAAAUUUCAUAAUAUCUUUUUUUUUUUGGCAACAAAAAAUAGUACUUCUAAACUUCCAUUGGUUUUAAUAAAAUAACUUAAGUGUUUUUCUUAAUUUGCACAUCUAUACGGUAUGCUUUUACCUCCAAUAUGACAAAAUGUAUUUCAUACAAGUUUGAUGCAUUCAUCCAUUUAGCAGUAUGUUUUUUUCAUACAAAUAGUACAUUUAUAUACAUUCCUUUCUUUUUCGUAUUUUGAUAUAUAGAAGAUUAGAUGAUUGUUUAAUAGUACCAAAGUUUGAUUCUAUUACAUUAUUGACUAUUUUGUGGACCUAUAUGGAAAAGUAACAAAUAUAUUAAUCAAAAAUAUAUUCUAUUUUGGAUAAUUUCUUAAAAUAUUGACCAAAAAAAAUAAAAAAUUGGUACAAUAUUGCUGAAACCAAAGUUAGAUGAUUGUUUAAUAUAUUCUAUUUUGGAUAAUUUCUUAAAAUAUUGACCAAAAAAAAUCAAAAAUUGGAACAAUAUUGCUGAAAAACCGAGCAUAUUCUAUUUAUACACGUAACCUAUGUUUUCAGAACCGGACCGGAUAUCGACUCGGUCGAGAUCAGGGGUCAGGGGUCAAUGGGUUCGACCGGGGGUCGAUAGGGGUCGAACCGGAUGACGUCAUAAAUAAAAAUUAUUUAAAAAUUAAAUUAUUGUAUAUAAAAUAUCCAAUAACAUAUUGAUAUUAAUAAAGGUAUAUUCAUAUAUAUUUGAUGUUUCAAAUAUAUUUAACAAGAAAAUACAAAGAAAUUAGAACAAUCAAAUAACAAUUUAUAUUAUUUAAUAAACAUUAACAAGUUUAGAAUUAAAAUUAUGGAUUUAAUUGAAAAAUAACAUCAAAUUUUAGGACAAUAUUUAUAAAGUAUGAAAUAUUUGAGGUAUAUUAAUAAGUUUUCACAAUUUAGGGGGUCAAAACAUAAUAUUAAAAAAGUUUGAACUUUUUUUACAAAAACUCCUGUUGGACCGGUUUUUCCGGUUUUGUACCGGUCAAACCCGGUCAAAUCCGGUUUUUGACCGGAAUUGACCGGGUCUUGAAUCUCCCGGUUCUGAUGACCAACUCGGACCGGACACUUGACCGGUUCCCGGUUCAACCGGUCGGACCGGCCGAUCCGGUCCGAGUUUGAAAACACAGCACGUAACCCCUGAACACUCUCUCUUGGCCAGACUCUUGAGGAUCGCAUAAACUAGGCCAGUUUAUCUCGAUUCAUAUCGCCAAUAGCCUCUUGGUCAUCACCAAGACUUUAAAGUUUUGAUAUAUAGGUGGGAGGUCAACCCUUGCCUCCCAUCUUGUCACUUAAUCGUGGUUGUCACUUUCAAGUGAUUUCCUCCGAUAAGGUUUUCUAUCGGUUAGACUCCCUCCCCGCUAGACCAGACUAGAAUAGGUCAUACAAAUAUAUCGUUACGAAACAAAGAUUCACAUCAAAUAGGCUCGCGGCGUCUAUGAGUAACGACGAGCAGCAAUUUCUAAGUAAGUAACCUCUAGGCCACUAUAGUUAAGUAUUGAAAUUAUGUCAUUAAUUUAUAACUUAUAUGUUAAGGUAGCAUUCAAAUUAUUAAGUAUUGAAAUUAUGUCAUUAAUUUAUAAAUUUUAUGUUAAGAUAGCAUUUAAAUUACGCUAUUAAUUUACAUGUACUCUAUUUUGUUUUGUUAUGUAGUCAUAUUAUUUUCAAUAAGUAAUUAAAUUGUAUAAUAUUUAUUAAUAAUGUAUAACAUGCUUUUUAAUUAAAGUUAAUUAAUCAUAUAUAUAAUUUUUUAGUUCAAGCUUUUAAAAGUAAAUGAAUGUAAUAUUAACCUUUUUAUGGGUACUUUCUAGAAAUAGGUUGAAUUAAAUAUAGCUUGUGAUUUAAUUUAUACUGUCCAAUAUAAAAUUAAGGGAAAAUCGUUCAAAACGUCCCCCACAUUUUGUAAAAUGACUUUUUUCGUCCCUUACUUUUAAAAGUGUACUUUUACGUCCCUUACAAAUUUAUGUUGGUCAAAUUUGGUCCCUAUCUAGGUUUCCGACGAGUUUUUGGCUGGAAUUCAUCACAUGACUUGCAUGUGAUCAUUUUUUAGGGGCUAAAUUAUCAAAUCAAAAUUUACAUAAUCCAUCUAUAGUCCCUUACAUUUCACAAAAUGAAUCGUUUCGUCCCUUACAUUUCACAAAAUAAAUUUUUUCGUCCCUCAGAUUUCUCAAAAUGAAUUUUUUUAUCUCUCAUUGACCACGUGUACGAAUAGUUUUUAUUUUUUUUAAAUUCAUGAAUAUAUCUAUUUGAUUUUAUCUAAACAGUACAAAUAAUAUAUAAUAUAUCUCUAUUUGAUUUCACCUAAACAUAUCAAUAUGUACAUGGGUUUAAAUCAAAUAAUUUUGUUUUAAACCUAUAUAUAUAUAUAUAUAUAUAUAUAUAUAUAUAUAUAUAUAUAUAUAUAUAUAAAUGUGAUUUCACCAUGUGAAUCUAUUCAAUAUUUGUAAUCUUUUCUAUUUUAGUAAUAAUUCAUUUAUUGAGUUGUUUAAUAAGAGUAUCUAAUUAAUCGGUGUUAAUUCGAAUUCUAUAGUCAUGCUAACAAAUUACAAUUUAAAUAUGAAAUUUUUACUCGCUACCUUUAAGUCCAACAAUUGAAUUUCUCACCUUAUGAUUAUUUUAAAAUUUGAAAGUGUCAAUUACUUAUUUCUUUUUGUGAUACUUUUCCUUUGUUUAUUUUUUCUGUCUAAAUUUAAUUCGAUAUAAAUACUUGAUAAUGUUUAGAAUUAAAUGUCUUCUUUGUUUUCAAUUUUCGAGUAAAAGGAAUGAACAUGAGUGAAAAACUAACAAUUUUGUUAAACCCCUAUAUAUAUAUAUAUCUAUUUUAAUUUCACAUAAACAGUAUGUUUAAGCGAAAAUUAAAUAGAGAUAUAUUACAUGCUAUUUGUAUUAUCCAUGUGAGAUCAAAUAGAUAUAUAAAUUAGUUUAAAAAAAAGUUAUUCAUACACAUGAACAAUGAUAAAUGAAAAAAUUUAUUUUGUAAAAUAUGAGGGAUGAAAAAAUUCAUUUUUGUGAAAUGUGAGGGACGAAACAAUUCAUUUUGUGAAAUGUGAGAGACUAUGGAUUGAAUUAUGUAAAUUUUGAUUUGACAAUUUUGUCCUUAAAAAAUGAUCACGUGCAAGACACGUGGUGGAUUCCGACAAAAAACUAGUCGGAAACCUAGAUAGGGACCAAAUUUAAUCAAUUUGAAUUUGUAAGAGAUGUAAAAGUACAUUUUUAAAAGUAAGGGAUGAAAAAAGUUAUUUUGUAAAAUGUGAGGGACUUUUUGAACGAUUUUCCCUAAAAUUAAUCUAGGAUUAGCUUGUUAUACGUUUCAAAAUUUAUGAUAUUAAAUUAGUAAAUAUAUGCCAUGCCAUGUGUUUAAUUUGUUAUACCUUUUUAAGUUAUAAUUAAUGUAAUUCUUUUUAUUUGUAAUGUGAUGCACUCAUGUGAUUAGUUAGUGCAUAAGUUAUUUGGCAAAAAUAUAGGCAAUCAUUUUAAUUAUUAUGACUAAUUAAGUACAUUAAUGGAUGGGUUUUUUUUGUAUUAUAUGCAAUUUAAUUGGAUGGUAUUUAUUACAUUAGGUGGAAAGUAUCAAGCUAAAAUUUCUUGGUGAUUCAAUUAUAUCGAAGACAACAUAAUCAUCAUGGUUAUCACAUAAUUUGUCACACUAUAUAUCCUCUUAUUCAUUUAUUGACUUCGUAACACCAAUUCUUUUUUACUUGUAAUAGCUAUGGGCAUGGGGAGAGUUUCCUACUAUUUGACUAGGAAUAAUGGCUCCUCUAGAGCCCAAUGACUACCCUAGAGGAGGGGGAUGGGCGACCUAACGUAAACGUAUGCAUGAAAACGCUCCUCAACAUUAAUGCCUUUCCUAUUAUUGAGAUCAGCUAUCAAAACUGCGAAUGGAUCAAGCAUUAUUUCAGUUUCAUCCGCCCGAAUGUUGACAACUUUAAAUUAUGCAAUUCAUCUAUGCAUGGCUAACUCGUUUGUUGUUAACAUAGUUCAUCUGGGAGCCACACACCGAGUACGUAAUAUCAUCUCUACCAUAUAUAGUAUUCCAAGCGAGGCCAGCAUAUAUGCAGGGUUAGGGUCCCGCUGAUAUUCUGGCUCAUUGUUGAGUUCCAUCUGCCUGAUCAAAUCAUGCGUCAGUUAAAGCUACAGCAGCCUAUUUCAUAGGAUGCUGGCACGGAUACAGGGGGUCUGCAUCAACUUGGCCUAGCUGGUUAUCCUGGACAAGAUUGGGGUGAGUUUCAUGCGGAUGGGUAGAUUGCUGGAAUGAUCGCAUUAGAGUUGUAGUUCUUGAAGAUCCUAUAGAUACAUUCAAGCUUUUCGACUUGUAUCUGAGCUGGUAUCAUAAUCGUAACGUUAUAUACAUUACACCUCUGAUUCCUCGUGAUCCGCCCUGUAACAGGUACCAAGGGGAUGUAGUCCAGUUUCAAUAUUUGGUUCGUUUUCCUGUUAACUUUUGCAUUAGUUUCACUGCUAUCAUAAUUGUUAUUAUUAUUACGGGAAUUAAUUUUAUAUACACUGUCAGUAUUUAUACUAUUACCGUUAGAUAUAUAUCACGCUCCUGACUAAGCACCCAAUGCCCCUCAUAGGCGUAGACGUCACAAGCAGGGCACAUACCCACGUGAUGAUGACGGAGGCACACCGGUUUAGUAGGACACUUAGGCUUACCUCAAAUGGAUUAGACACAGCUAGCACACAGAGUAUGCCAUGACCCAACCCAACCUAUGGGUACACUUUAUAUCUAUAUAUAUAAUCUAUUCUAACAACUUAAUAUAAGGGAAGGAGGAGCCUAACUGACGGAAAACCUUGUCGAAAGAAAUCACUUGAAAGUGACGGCCACAAUUAAGUGGCAAAUAUAUAUGGUAGGAGGUUAAGGGUUCAACCCUUGACCUCCUGCCAAGUCUUGGUAGUUAUUAUUAUCAAUAGGGCUGUCAACGGGUCGGGGUCCGGACCGAAAUUAAUAAAUCUGGACUUGAACCCGUCAUACUAUACCAAUUUCAGAUCCGGCCCGAAUAUCCGACGGGUCUUCUACUUUUUUUCUCGGAAUCGGAUUAGGGUUGGACCUAUCCAAAAAAAGAGCCUGUCAAAAGCCUGUUUUUGCAACACCACCUGUCUUUGGUGUGUUUGACUAUUUGGAUAAUAGUCAGAUAAGUAAAUUUGAGAUAUUAUAUUAAUAAAUAUAUAUAUUUUAAAUUAUUAAUCAAUUUAUAUCCGAAUUCGGGUCAGAUACGGAUCAGAAUACCACAUUCAGUAUCAAACCCAUUUUUUGUUUGAUAAAACGGAUCUGGAUCCGAUCCGGGUCCAAACACGGACCGUUGACAGGCCUAGUUACCUGGACUCGGACCAUUGACCGGCCUAGUUACCAAUAGCCCAAGAGGCUGUUGGGUUAUAGGUACAUUAUAUAUGUCAAGUCCCAUUUCAGCAUUUGCGUACACUGUCACUUCCUCCUCUUCCGGUGUAACUUAUGCCAGUUUUUCCUCAGGAGAUGAUAACCUACACUCCAUAUUUGGCAGUGGUUCGCAGAGUGGGUCACCUGCACUAGAUUGUCCAAACUACUCUAUUCCCAAUUAUCCUCCAUCUGUUCCCAUUCUACAAUUGCCUUUAUCUACUUGGGGCCAAUACUAUACAGCAGUGAGACUGCAAUAUCGACUGAUGAAGAUGAUAUGCCAAACAAUGAUGCAAGCGACGAUGAUUCGGCUCCAGUCUAGAUUCCUGGAGUGUCGGAAAGGUUUGAGGGGCAACAGCUUCAACUACCAUGCCUUUCAUGCCAACAAAGGAAGACUAAGAGAUUUGCUAUUCCAUAACACCUCACGAUAAGGGCAAAGGACAUAGACAUUGAUAAUUACUUCAUUAGAUACUUAAUUUAGUAAAUUAGGUUGUUAUCUUUAUGGCAUAUCUAAUUUAAUAAGCUAUAUACUCAUUUUUUACUACCACUUUUUUUAUUUAGUAUAAUUACAUCUACAAUGCUUACAACAAAAAUUUAUUUUACAAUUAAACUACUAUUUUAUUUCUUAUACACAACUCUAAUUUAAAUAAGAUACUCAUCAUAUUUACUUAAAUUUGAUAAUUAAAGUUGUAGAACUAAAACAAUUUAAAAUUAAGUUAUAAAACAAAUAACAAAAUUAGUUGCAUAAUUUAAACUACACAUUUUCCAUAACUUUAGAUAGUUAAAUUUGUUAAAUAAUUAAUUGCAAUAGGUCUUCAAAAAUAUAAAAUAAAAGUAACAAAAAAUAAAUAUAUUCAGCUGCAAGACACGACAAAUGAAAAAAAAAUUAAAAGAGCCUGCUAUGCAUAGGACACUUUUUUUUUUAUAUUAGUAACGAUACAUUUGUAUAACCUACUCUAUCCUAAUCUAGGGGGGAGGAGGAGUCUAAGGAGACUGUGAUAGGAGCUAGUGGAUAUACAGAUCUAACUAAAUCAAGGGAGUGUUAUGACAUAACCCUUAGAUUUGUUUCACUGCAGGUGAGAUUUCACCUAGAGCCUAAGGAGGGACUUAAGUCUCUCCCUGGUAGCCACUGAACCAUUGGCCCAAUGGUUGUGCUAGGGACACGGCAGGCUGUAUUUAUUAGUUGGUCCCUACCAAUUUGCAUAUAAAGCCCGUAGUUUGUCUGACACAAGGCGGCCCCCUUUUUUUAAAAGAAAAUUUAAAACUAAUAAAUUAGCUGCAUAGAUAAAGAAAUGCUCGGCUUUUCAGCAAUAUUUUUCAGACUUUUUUGGCAAUAUUUCAAGAAAUUUGUCGCACAAUUACAUAAGAUUUGAAAACAUGUUAUAUGUGUGUGUGGGCGCAUAUUAUAUCCUUAUACUAUAUAAGAUUGAGUUUUGGUUAGAUUUCAACCGCAUAGGUGGGGGCCUUUUGGGAAUGUGAAAUAUUGUUCAUUAGCUUAAAAGUUUUAGGUGCAACUUAACGAGCAUGUAUUUGGAUAUGUUUACUGAAAUCACCCCGUUUUAAUACAUUUAAAGCCCUCAUUGAUGAGCCAUUUGGGUAUUGAUGGAAUGUGUUCUGAGUGUGCAAUCAUUUUUGUAUUCUGUACAACUCGUAUAUGCUUGUAUAUUGGUGUAAUUACCGGAAUAUUCCUUAACUACUAAUAAUCCCCCAUUUAAUACAUUUUCGGUUGUCAUUUAUGAGCCAUCUGGGUAUUGAUGGAAUGUAUAAUGAGUGUGCAACCAUUUUUGCACUUUGUACAACCCAUAUGUGCUUGUGUGUUGGUGUAAUUACCAGAAUACCCCUUAGCACCCAAAUAUUCCUCUAAACGGACAAGUAACUGUUGCUUCUCUGUGGGAGGGGGCGCCGUUGAAAUUGGCCGCUGUCUGAAACAUUUCACUGGUAACCGAGCUGUUAUUGAGUGUUAAUGGUUAUGGCUGUUAUGAGUGUUAAUGGUUGCCGAACUGUUACCCCAUUUAUGAGUCACAAUCGUAGGUCCGUUUACCUCCGUUCACCUUCAGCAUCCCGCCGAGACCCUUUACAGUUACCUGCCGCAUCGUUUCCUCUUCCAGGUUUCAAUUGCUUAGGCUCGACUUCUGUUAGCUAGAUGCGUUAAUGCUGACUCCCAAAUUACCUACCCUUUGGCCGCGUUUUACGCCCCAAAUGCCUUAUUUGCUUGUUAGGGCUGCUAAUGAUUGGAUAGGGGAGGCUCGAGAGUUCAAAUGGGGCUUACUCAUUUCUUAUGCUCUCCAAUCCUACUGUAAUUAUAUUGAUCACCCUAUUUUUCCCUUAUUAAUUACACCCCAAUUUAAUUUCCGAACCGCCCAGAUGGUUGAUUAUCAGGUUCCCUCUGUUUGCAUUCCGGAAUUGUGUUACUUCUUCGUGGCUCCAUAGUAAGCAACUCAUAAUGCUCUUCAGCCGCAGCUACACCUGGUAAUUCAGCCUGAGGUUAGAUUCCACAACCCCCUCCCUCAAAUUUUCCAGUUCUUCCCUUAAUUUUGUCUGUGUGUUCUUACAACCUGCAUUAGUGACUUUUAUUCCGUUGCCUAACUGCUGCCCUCUGUAAUUUGACUGGGUUGGUUAUGAUCUUAUAGGUUUGGAGCAACAGCAAGAACGAGCUCUCGGUGGGGCUUCUGGAAUAAGGUUAGCUUUCUGCGUAGCUCUACCUUUUAGUAUUAUCAAUGACUUGAAUUUGAUACCGUUCUAUUGUUGAUCUGCCUUGCUGGUGUGAAAAAGGUAGCUUUCUUGCUUCAAUGAUUAUAUCGUUUAUUGUUGAUUUGGGUGUGCGGUGUUGACUUUACUUAUUGCUAAAUAUGUUCUUCAUAUUUUAUACUGUAUGAGAGCCAAUUUGUUAUGUUGUAGCUAGAUAAUGACAGGAGGCUAGAAUCUCUUGAAAGCUGAGCAAUGUAGUAUUGUUGGGGCCGGUAGAAAGCAUUCUGUUCUAAAAACUGAAUGUUGUACCCAGCACAUAUUCAACAUUCCAAUCAAGUCAAAAUGAUGGGAUCUAAAUAUGCUUUAAAAAUUGAAUUCUUAGCUUAAUUCGAACCAUGUUUCCUGAUCUGGCAGUGGUCUUAAGAGCAUAUUAGUUUCCUUUUUCUUAAUAGCUUGUCUUUUGGGCAAAGUGUCAUGGCUCGUGAUUUGUGAAGAUAGCACAAAGCUACUCUUCCAGAAGCCCGGAAAGGAAGAAAUGAAUGAAAGGUUGGAACUGACCUGAAUACGUGCCCUUAAAAGCGGAGCAUCAGGUUCUUAUCUACAUCAAAUCAUUUCGCGUCCUCUCCCAAUCUUAAUGAAGAAUUGAAGCCUUCAAAUUGGCCUCAAGGUUGCCUUUUCUUGGCCUCUGCAUAAAUAAUAUGAACCUUUUUACCAGGUUUAUACAAUUAAGUCAGCAACCAAUAUGAACUUUUGUGAACAAAUUCAGACAGUCCUUUACGAGCUCCGAUCAUCAUUCAACAUUCACACUGCAAAGAUCAGAGAUUUAUUAGGUCUCAUCUAGGUUUCGGCCCUUUAACUCAAGCUCCACAAUAUUAGAGCCUAUGCUUUCUGGAAACUUUAUAGAAGAAAGCAGACUUAAUAAGUAGACAGGUAGAUAGGAAUUUAGACAAUGAGGUGCCUGUAUAGUUUGAGAUUAUACAUAGGUCAGGGGAUAUAGAAGUUUCAGUUUAUAACAGCCACUGGUCUAGCUUCUUCAACGGCCACGGGUCUGAUUUCACCACCUAUUUCCCUGUCAUCCAUGGAUGCGCUGAAGUAACAGAUCAGAGGAUCAAAAUUCCAGUUAAUUUAUACCGAAAGUUAAUAAUAUAUAGAAUUUUUAGACCAUAAAUUAAUCCUUUCAUUUUGGAGAUAUCAAGACAAGGAGUAGGAAUUGACACAGUAAUUUAAGUUGAUCUGACAGGUCUGUUAAGUUCAUUUUUGGAACUCAGAAAUCCACUCUCUGAAUGUUUACACUCAUACUAACACUCCAUAAUGUUAUACGUCUCUCUUUUCCUCUGCUAAAAAGGACAACAAAUUAUACAUAGAUUUUUGUAGAAAAAUAGUAACUGUUAUUAAUAGAAAAGGUCAGGGUCAAGAUCCUUAUUCAAGGAACAGAAGAGAUGAUCACCAUUGUGUGUAUAGACUACAGCAUCAACCUUUCAUCUGCCCUUCCCUCCUCCCCCCCUUCCAUCCAUCCCACAAUUAAGAAACAAAACUAGGAUACAGUGUUGCCUCAGUGUGAUACGUUUCCUUCUGAUAUACUAUUCCUUCAGGCACCUAACCCUUCAUUCAACCACAGAGCCAAAGUAUCGAAUGCAAUGACCAAAUAAUUUCCAGUUCCGCUCAUUCUAAACCAAGUCAUCACAAUUGGUGACCGGAAAAAAAUUCAGCUGCAAUAGCAUCAUAUGCUGCCUCAUUCAACCUCUAAUUUCUGAGUUGCGCCAAUUCGUAAUUAAGCCAAACUGUGUAUUGUAGUGUAAAGGAAACACGAUAGAGCACAAGAGAACUGACCAUCCGGACAUAAACUUUUUAAAAUCCCAGCUGCGAAUGACUUUGCUAAAUCCCUGUGACACCAGGAAAAUGAAAAUGAGAGGUAUCGUAAGACAUGAGCAGCUGAAUCAGGCUUAAAAAAGCCUUGUUUCUUACAUAUAACCCUGCUCUUUUCUCAACAACACAUAAUAUAAGAAAAGUCUUUUUUUUUGUUUUUUUUUUUACUUUAGUUUCUCCUUAUUCUAAAUUCAUUGUCUUAUUCUCUUUGAAUUAAUUUUGUAACCACAAGUGAUACAUUUGUCUAGAAAGCACCAAAACUGGAAGCAAAAAGAAUUAAAAUGUAUCCCGAAGUAAUUGGGACCAAAGCUGGAAUUAGAACUAGAGGCUCUAAAACCAUAACUGUAAUUGUUCUUAAAGGUUUGAUUCUAAUUCCACCUUUCAAAGAAAAUGAAAGCCAGCAUUUCUAAAAUCAUGACCACCCCUAUUCCUUCCUUUUCUCCUUGCAAUAUGCAAUGGUCCAGCCCAAUCUUUACCAGUUUGGCCAUUUACUUGAAAAUUUCAAGAUGCAAUGAGGGAAUCUAAAAAAGGGGGAAUCUAAAAAGGAUUUUGAAGUAAAUCCUUUUUCUGAAUACACAAUUUCUCGUCAGUUUGGAUGACUAACUUUGCCAAAGAUUUAUUUCUUUUUGGAAGAGAGAUCGCAAACCCUUCAACUUACUUCAAUUGCAACAAUUUAAUGUGAAUUUUAAAUAAAAUGGAAUGUUUCAGACAAUGAAUCACAAAUUAAGAAUUUGAAUUUGACUACUUUCAAAUCCUUCCAUAAAGAUGCAUCAUUUCGAAAGUCUAAGCUUAUUCUUUUUGACAACCAAUAUUAAGCUCAAAAAAUUUCAAGCUUCUUCUAUGGAUUGAAACCCAAAAAGGGAAAAACAAAAACUUUUUAUGUAAUAAAAAAAGGAAAAUUGAGUUUUGUUGGCUUAUAGUGACAAGAAUGCAAAAUUUUUUUUUUUGGGGUUACAAAUAGGAAGGCUAUUUCAAACCAAAUAUAUUUCAUCUAUUCUACCCGUUAAAGCUAUACCAUUCAAGGGCUCAUUACGUCCCAAUUCUUUAUUUUUUCCACUUCCAGUUCUCUCUUAGAAUAGUUGUGUUAUAGUUUUGGAAAGUGGACCACAAUGAUCCUUUUGUUUUGCCCAAAACCAAUUUGAUCGAUUUUACCUCGAAAACGAUACAAUUUGGCUCCUUCAUAAUUUCAACAAAACUUAUAAAUAGCACUUUACAAUUUUUCACCAUUUAUGACAAACAAUACUUCCCUUAUAAUCUUUUUUUUUAGUUGACUGUCGACUAUCAAGUAGACUCUUGAGGUGCUAAAACUUUCAUAUUUUUGUGCAUUAUAACACCGUUUAUAAAUUUAAUUCUAUUGUGGAAACUCACUAUUUGACAAAAGAAAAAAACAAGUAUAUAUGAUGCUUAGGCACUAUUUUGAAAGGAAAUCAUGCUUCUUAUAUUGUAUACAGUAAUUUAGUCAUAGUUCAUUUAUUUAGUGCUGCACUUAAAUUUAAAUUUUUUCAUGCAUCAUGGUUAAAAUAUUGGAAUUUUCUUUUACAAUAAAAGAAAAUAAUAUUAGGAUGCUUGUAAAUGCCUCUAAAGCCUAUUUUAAUAUUCAUAAGUAGACAGGUAGAUAGGAAUUUAGACAACGAGGUGCCUGUACAGUUUGAGAUUAUACAUGGGUCAGGGGAUAUAGAAGUUUCAGUUUAUAAGAGCCACUGGUCUAGCCCAUCACAGUGAAGAAGCCAGCGAUGCAGCACCUGCACAACAAAAGGACGGAACCGCCAAGAAACAACGCAACUGAGUACUUAAGGCUGCCUAUUAGGGACACCAUAACUAUAAUAAAGGCUGAAAUCUAAUAGGCUUGCUAUUAGGGCCACCAUCACAGUUUCGUUUAAUGGCUGUCUACUACUAUUACUAUCACUAAAUAAGGGACUCCAUGGAACCAGAACUACAGCAAUUACUCUCUUUCUUCACUCCAAUCUUUCCUUUAUGGACUAUUAUUGCUGUUCAGAUUCGCCUACUUUAUGGACUAUUUUUGGUUUGCAAUAGUAACUGUUUUUUAUUAUUUGAUGGCUAUUUCUUCUCACAAUAUACUAUUGUUCAUUCCACACAACAACCUCCUUCCCCACAAGCACCAAACACCCGCGCGAUGCGUGGGCAUUCCCCCCUAGUAUAUAUAUAAAAAGGAGUUGUUGUAUGACUCUUGGGUGAUUUUCAUCUAACAUUUGUAGGGGCAUUUUGGUAAUGGUAAAAAUAUAACAGUAUUGAUUAAGCAAAAUGCACAAGUUUCUGUUGCCUAAUUUUGCAUGGUUUAUCUACUGUACUCUUUGGUGGCUAAUGGUUUGGCUACUUUGCCAUUGAUUUAGCAAAGUGGGUAGAAAAGCGAAAUUAACUCCCCUCAAGUAUGUUUAGCUGAAUUGAUUAUGCAAAUUAAAUGCAUUUAAGAUAAUAUUGGUGCAGUAAGGCUAAAAAUGAAUGCUUGAAUUGUAACGGCAGAAAGUUUCGUCUUCUUCAUCAUUCAAGCUCAAGAACCAUUAAUUCAACUCUUGCAACAAAUGGCACUUAUUUGAAUUAGUAAUUGUAGCACAUUGAUGAGGCCAUUAAAGUGUGAGAGGUAAAGAAUCAUUUGGAAUAAAUGUUACAAGAGUAACACAGGACCUCCAAUUUUCUUCAACAUUUGCUCAUCAAUUUGUAACGUAGGUUACAAUAAUGGCUAUUGUUAAGGUACAAAAUUGUGGAUUAAGAAGGUUUGCAUAUUACCAAAGUUGGGUUUGUAGAGGUAUGCUCAAUUUUGCUCUUGCUUUCUGGUCUAUGAGUUGCAUAGCUUCCAUUCUACAAAAUCCUGAAUAAGCCUUUGUGCUUGCUAUUGCAAGUGGACGAAGUAUGGAGAGAUUUUGCUCUUAGAUUGCACUUUACUACUGAAGGUACAAGGUAACUUUACAUUCCCACUUGAUGCAUGUCAUUUAUUGAUUAAAUAUGAUUACAAUUAUACUUGAUCCAUUUGAAUCAUGUGCUUAAAUGAACAAGUGUGUGAAUGAUUAUUCCACUUUGAAAAUUAUCUUGUAGUUGAUGCAAUUUAUUGGUUCAAUAGUUAAGUGACUGAGUUGUUGUGUGUGGAUAGAAAUUGCCAUUCGAAUAGAUAAAUAGCUAUAUUUACAUGCUUUGUUAUUUUUGUAUUGAAUUUCAUAGACCUGAUAAUUGUUUGAUACAAGUUAGUGUUUGUAAUGAGGAAAAUUAAUUUCCUCUCUAAUUAUUUGUAGAUGCAUGUAUUGAUCGAGAUAAUGGUUCUUAGUUGUAGUAGUCAAACAAACAAAUGCUAUGUAUAAAUUUUCUAUGUUUAAGUUUAGGGCUUGUGGGUUGAAAUUUAUGAUGGAUCAAACAAACAAUAUUGAAAAACUUAAUGCUAAAAAGUAAUUUGGGAAUCAAAAGGCAAGAAAAAGAUAUGUAUUGUUAUCAGUAGAAGAAAAAGAUAAAGUACGAUUGGAACAACAGAAAAUACGCGUAAAGCAUUAAAAAUUCAUGUUCAUUUUGUUAAAACUACUACAUAAAACAAUGGUGAGUGUUCCUGAUUGAACAACCUAAUUUUGUUUGAAAGAUUAAACUUAGAGGAAAAUGAUACAUAUGAUAACACCAUGAGUUUCCAUUUGUAUUAGACAUUGAAAAGGAAAAUAGGGAACCGUGCCGUUAUUGCUCAAUAAAAGAAUCUAGCCAAGCACCAGAAAAAUGUAAUGCUAAUUAUGACAAUAGAAAGCUUAAGGAAUAUAUAAGUGUGUUCCACUUGAUAUCAAGUUAUCAAACACUGUUAAGUUAUUUGACCACACCACAGGUAUCAAUCCCCACGCUUCGCGUGGGACUUCCCUCUAGUAUAUAUAUAUAUAUAUACUCCUUCUAUCCUAUAAAAUUUAUCAUUUUUGGGAGAAUAUGCAAUUAUAUAUAGUGAUAUUAAUAGGAAAAAGAAUUUUUACUAUUUUUUUAUACCCGUAGUGAUGGUCCAUCUUUUAUUUGUUAUAUUGGAAAUUGUGGGAAAUAAGUGGUGGGCCAUAUAAAGGGUAAAGAUAAAAAAUUUUAUUCAAAAAAAUGAGUUAACUUUUCUCUAAGAUGAUAAUUAAUUUAAGACAAGAAAAAAUCUAUAUUUUUAAAUUUGAACUGGAUCAAUCGUCUGACCGGUGAAAUUGAGAACCAGCCAAGCGUCCGGUCUGAACCUUUCAAAAAACCUGCCUAACAAAAAUUCGGUCAAAACUCGAGUUCAACCAGAAACUUAUUAAACCGAUCAGAACUGGGUUUUCCAUUUUUUCCUUUUUUGAGUUGAACUUUUUUUUUUGCUGGCUUUUUGUUUUUUACUUUUGUAUUUUCCUGAAUUAUAUUGAAGAAAAAAUAUAAAUCAAGCUUAAUUGAUCUAUCAAGCAAGAUCUACUACAGAUCUAACAUCAAAAUUCAAAAAUCAAAAGAAAAAGUAAGAAAGAGAGAGGGAGAAUAGAAAGGAAAAAAAAUGUUGAUUUAAACUUUGAAUCAAAAACUUGAAAAACAUGAGAGAAAAGAACGCAAAUAAUAAGAUGAUAUGAUAUUUUCUUCUAGUAAUGGAAGAAAAAAAGAAAAAGAUUAAAAGCAAAAAAUAGAUUGAUAAAAAAGAGACCCAGAAGAGAAAUGAAAAGACAGAGAAAGAUGAAAUUCAUUGGAAAAACAGCAACUCUUUAAUGUUUUUAGAGCAAAGUGUGAUCCUAAUCUUAUGAACCUACUCCAAAGGCUCAUCCAAACCAACCUUUGCCAGUUUCACUAUUUGGUAUGCCAUUUCCUCAAUAAUGCUUUUGCUGCUGCUCACCCGAGGACGAAGAGGCCGAGAGAUGGUAUUGCAGUGGCCUGGAGCUCUAUUUCUUUCUUUUGUGGAAAACAAUGCUAGGGUUAAUGAAGUGAAUGUUUAAUAAACUUUUCCAUUAUUUUGUUUUGACCCCUAAAUAAACAACUAUAAUGGCUUCUAUAAGUUUUUCUAGAUUUUCAAUUGAAGCUUUAGUUUCUUUACUUCUUCAAAUAGGUCUUACAAAUUUAGUUCUUAGCUUAUCAAUUUAUAUUUACAGCUUCUAAACACUAAAUUUGAGUUAGGUUCAAAGGGUAUUGAAUUGUAGAAUGUUUGGAAAUAAAGUUUAGUAUAUAUUAUAUAAAAUUAUUAUAUAUUUAUGACAUCAUGAUGACAUCAUCCAGUUUUUAGAUGGAUUCAAUCUCGAUAGAAUCCAAUGAUCCUUAAUCCCUAGGUUCGGCCGAGUUGUUGUCCAGUUUGAGUUUUAAAACAUCGGAAAAUGUGACAAAUAUGACAAAUUUUUUAUGGGAUGAAGGGAGUAUGUGUGUGUGUGUGUGUGUGUUUAGUAGAAAAGACAGAGAAUUUGGUGAAUAAGUGGUAGGCCACAUGAAGGGUGAAGAUAAAAUUUCAUUAAAAAAAGUGGGUUGACUUCUCUAAGAUGACAAUUAAUUUGGAACAAGAAGAUGCGACAAACAUGACAAUUUUUAUGAGAUGGAGGGAGUAUAUAUAUAUAUAUCACAUAUUUGUGUAUGUGUGUGUAUAUAUAUCUCUAUGUGUGUAUGUUUAGUGGCAAGGACAAAGAAUUCGGUGUUAGUAAAUGUUAACAUCCACUUUUACCUUCUUUUUAAUAUUUUAAGUUCAUUCAUUUGAUCUUGAUUAUUCAUAGUAUAGGAUAAUGUAAAAUAUUCUUUUAAUCUUAUACAGUUAUCCAUUGUAAAAGCUGUAAAUUAAAGGUUUCAUAGAAAACAACAAAGUCUCACGGCAUAAUUGAAAAAAGCAUUUAGUAAGAACUAAGUUGGGUUUUUCUGUUUUAUUCAUCUUUAUUAAGGAAAAGUCUGGUUAAGUAGGGAGUUAUCAAGCAGUGAGAAGUCAGGCACCAAAAAGUCGAUUGCUACAACAAUUAGAAUUUUGAAUAGAUUGUUACAUGGAGAAGGAGUGUAAAUGAAAGCUUCUGAGUUUGACCCUUUCCAUUUACUCUAUUUAAAAAAAAAAAAAUGGGGACUUGGAGCAUUGUGAAGGCUAUUGCCGCCAGGUUUUGCAAUCAUAUUCUUGAAAAGAAGUUGGAGGAAAGGUUGUAGUUUUGGUGCUCUCUGUGAGACAGUACUAUCAUGAAAGGAAAAAGAGACAAUCAAUUUAACCUAAGUUGACUCAAUUGGUAAAUACGAUAACUUUUUCAAAAAAAGUCAUGUGUUUGAAUUCUGCUUCUGCUACUAAUAUAAGAACUAUAUUAGUGAAUGAUAUAUAAAAAUCAUGUAAGUGAUAUAUGAUUCUAAAAACGUGUCUUGACUCGUGAUAAUGACCAAAACCUAACCCACUUUUUAACUUUUUCUAAAAAAAAAAAAUGAAAAGAACAUGGGCUAAAUUAGUCUUUCAAAUGACCACGUAGACGACACAAUCGCGCAGUUCCUUGUUCGAAUGGGAUGAGAUUAGGGGUUAGAGGAUGUUUCAUCACCCACGUUAAUUAUUCCAAUUGCCCCAUUCACCAGGCGUCCUAUGCAUUUUCAGAAUUUUUUCAACCAAUGUUCACACAAAAUUCAAAUAAGAAGAUCUGAGCCCUGAAUUAUUCCCAACAAUUGUCAAACUCAUAGCAGAGGUGGUGUUGUCAGUGAGGUCGGGAGAAGUGGCCCAUUUUUUCUUUCUUUUUUUUUUUCAGUUGUUUCUUAAUACAUAAUCCCCAAAUCAAAUGAAUCAAGAGAAUGGAAGUACUGUAACCUUUCCUGUAAAAUUGUGAAAUAAGAUCAAAGGAGAAAAACAGAAGCGGAAAAUCGGUGCUUGAUGCAAAUGCUCCAACAAAGUGAACUGGGGAACAGAUCCCAUCACCUGCAAACUCGUUUCUUUGGGAGUUUUACAAAACUUUUUAUUACAACAAGAUCAAAACAGCCUCCAUUGGGCCAUACCACUGUCAUUCCUUUGUUGCUCUUUUUGCUGAAUAACUACUACCUAUACACACGAUUUGUUCACCCAUACAUUCGGUUUGACAUUUAAAAACUACAGUGACUAGACAAGGGUUAAUUUUCCAUUAACAGUUCUAAAGGUACGUUUUGUUAAUAGACGGAUUAAUCUAAAAUAUUUGGCUCCUUUUCAUAUCAAUCACGUGUUU
rnacentral:lncRNA from 1 species